CGUGAUACACUAAACUGGAAACAAAAAACUCAGCUCGAUGCAUUUACAUGGACAGAAAUCGAAGUAUGUAACGGGUGAAGCUACCAUCAUGCCUCCAGGUCGUUCAGGUUUCUCGGAACUUUGACAAAAAGUUUUGAAACGAAGAGAAACCUUCCAUCGCAUCGUGCGGCAUGUUAAGCGUGAAAGGGGGAAGAACACUCGGACCAGCCUUCAGGUUCUUCGGGCCAGCGGCUGACGGUAGCGCAAGUGCAGGCUGCUGUCUGUUGAGCUUUUCUAUGAUGUACGAGAAAGUUCCAAAAGCCAGGCAGCUCUGAAUCAGAGUUUGCGGUGCACCUGCAACAGACAGCAGAAAAUAUGGUACUGAGGUGAUCGAUACAUAUGAAGCAGUUUAUUUAUGCUACAGGAGCAAAAAUAGAAACAUUAACUCCUGCCCCACUCCCUACAAAAAGCAAAGAGAGAAGUUGUAUUCUCAGCACAAAUGAUGAUCCAAACUAACCCCUUUGAUUAUACGAUUUUGGUUAGUAGAAUCUACAUUUCUACGAUCCUAAUAGUUAAGAUUCUACCACUGGUGAUCACUGGUGGAGCUACAGUGGAUUUCUUGGGCGGCCCAACCUGAAGAAGAAACCAUAAGAGAUGGGCCAGGCCACUUGGCAAGCUAGUUAGGCAGUUUUUCAGCUAGGCAGGGCGGGCCAGAGCACAGGUUCGCCCCAACGUAGCUCUGAUCCGAUUCAAAAUAACGAUUUUGACAACCUUGUCGAGCGACCAAGCGGAACGCUCGUUUCAGCAUCUCUCCCUCUCUCGAUCCGCGACGACGGCAAAGCACUCCCACCUCUCCCUCUCCGGCAACGGCUGUCCUAGCCUCCCCCCACUUCUGUCCUCUGAUGGCAUGCAGCAGCAGCGGGCAGCCAGGUACAAGCUGGGUGACGAUCAAGCAGCUGGACGGCGGCUGUAGCGGACAGCUUGGGCAGAGCGGAGGCAGUAGAAGGAGCAGAAGGAGCAGCAGCUCAUGGGCUGUGGCUGGUAGUUGCAGGUGGCGGCCUCACAUGCUGGGCGGCGGCCAGGCGCUGCACGUCUCGAUUUGUUGAGCGACACAACAUGAGGAAUUGGCAGGCGGUGGCUACACCACAGAAGAGCAGGCUCUGCUCCAUUGUCCACUCUCCCUUGUGCGUUUGCUAGACUAGUGAUAAUCACCUAAAUGGAAAUUGUACAUGCUUUUUCUUGCCUUUUGCAACUACAGAAAAUUUGUGCAUGUUGUGGACCAUUUAUUGAUGAUUCUUUCUAAAUUUGUUAGUAAAAUAUGAUUGUGUAAGACUAUUGAUGUUAUUUAUUUGACAUGAUUGUGAUGCAAAAUAUAAAUUAUUGGUGAACAAAAAAUAAAUAAAACAUUGUUUUGAAAUUAAAUAAAGUGAUUCCGAAAAUACAAUUAAUGUUGCAUAUAUAGCCAGAAAAGCAAAACACUAAUCUGAACAUUUCUCAUUAUUCCAUUCCAUCAACCAAACACUGAGAUGUAACUGUUUCAUUCCACCUCAUUAUUCAUACGAAACACAAAGAUGGAACCAUUACAUUCCAUUCCACUUGGUUCUUCAACCAAACACACCCUCAGUGUCUUUGGCGGCACGGCUGGCUUCUGGGCGAUAGGGCAUGCUCGUGGCGGCCAUGGCGGCGACCUAUGUUNGAUAUGGCGUCCAGCGGAGGCUAGCGGCGCGUGUCGAUGGCUUCUGUUGUGCCUAAGACGGCAAUGGCUGGCGACAAUGGUGGCCCAACAGUGCUCGGUCACGACAGCUGCCAAGGCUUCGCCUUUCUCUAUGGGCACGUAGGGCGUGUGAGAUGGUGGCCCUAGGCAGGUUACGGUGGGGGUGGCGACAGUGUGGGGUCCUAAAGGAGGAUGCGGCCGGCGAUGCCGAGGCUGCCCGAAGACCGAAAGUGUCGGUUCCUGGGCAGCUCCCUAUUGAGAUCUGGAGGAGCCAAAUCUUGAAGGAGCACUAGCUGCCGAUCCGUCCAGAGGUUUUGCAGGCAGGUGGCUGGCGCGCGAGCCGAGGUGCAGGGUUUGGGUAUCCCACCCCCCUCAUGGACGGGCAGUUCGUUGGGCAGCCAUGGCGGCGGUGCUGCCCGGCUAUGGCCGUUGGCCUUGUGGUGGGACCCCGAGGGCAGGUGUCUUCUUCCCUUCGGUCGGCGACGGCCACAUGCUAUGCCGUCGGUGAGAGGUUCGGAUAGGGAUGUCGAGGCGGUGGCCUCAGGUGGCGGGCUACUCGAUAGGCUCUCGACGGGUGUACGGGUGUACGGGUGGCACAGUGGUGGUUGUGCUUCUUGGUCAUGUGGGUGGCGAGAGGUGUUGUGGUGGGUGGCAUUGGUGUCUUCUCUGUUGUGGCAGCGAAGGUGCGCAGAUCUGGUCAUGGAGAUCCCGGCUUCGUAGCAGCGGUUGACUUCGUUACUUCUUUGUGGCUCAGGGUAACAACCGGGUGAAAGCUCUGCGCUUCGUCCCCGGCAGAGACGGCGUCCAUGGGUGCUACUUUCCUCUUGAGGAUGUUGUCGCAGUUUCCCCUACCAGGUUUCUGAGUGAAAACAUUUGUUUGUUCCGUCGGCAACGGCGAUGAAUUGUGCCAUUUCCCUCUUGAGAGUGCCUUAUCUUUGGUUGUGGCGUGGUGUUGUCUUCACGCCCUUUUGUAUUCUUGCUCAUCUUCGUCGUGUCUUCCCAUCCGAUGUGUGUUGUCCAUUUUUUUUUCUAUUUUCUACUUUGUUUGAGGGCUUCCUCACCAUCAUGUAUCGUUCAACCAUGUACUUGUGGUUCGUGCUUUACCAUCCAUGCCAGCAAUUGUGCAUCCAUAAAUGGAACCAAGGGGGUAAGGCAAAUCAAGGAGACAAAAUAAAAAUCUAUGACAUCAAAACUGUAAGAACUAAGAAAAUGUGUCAUGUAACACCAAACUAAUUCGGAAAUCAUUAGCAAUAUGCGGUAAACCACAAGAGAGUACAGAAGCAAGUGUACAACUGAUGGAGAACUCAAAACGAUCAACUUUUUAGCCAUAAAACUUGCAACUGAUGCCAGAUAUCUAACCAUGACCUAAAAGGCUAUGCGUGCUUUCAAAACAAAUCACAAGUCCAGAAACCACCAUGACACUAGCACACGUUUGCAGCCAACACUGGGGUUGCCAACCAGGUAAAUUUUUUAUCCAAAUAACCUACACUAGGCAACUAGAAUAAUACAGGCAAAUCAUUUUCACUCUUACUGUUAAACUACAUUAAACUAUGUCAAAACCAUGGUCUUUGGGCAAGGUAUCCAGGAACAACGUUAAAUUUAGAUAGUUCCAGCUAUUAAUUGCAUUGCUAUAACUUUACCUGGAAAACUCAAAGCAAGGCCAGUGCAACAGCCUGCAACUCCUGCAUUAAUAACUGUAGACAAAAGAUCCACAAGUCAAUGGUCAUCCUUGUCAUUUUAUACACCCUAAGUACUUCAAAAAAGGUAGCAGAAUAGCAGCACAAUCUUAAAGGGGGCAUCAAAGACAGACCGUCAUCUUUUCCACGUAGCUUUCUCAAAGAGCAAGAAACCAAACUUUGAACGCCGGCAAGAACAGCAAAUAUCUAGAACAACAGACAAAAUUCUCAAUGUGAUGGUUAACAGAGAAAAGUCUAUUCCAAACGAAAUGAACAUUGGUAUCCAAUUAAUGAAAUAUGUAUCAUCAUACCUUAGCAGAAGAGGCAGCGUCAGCAAAUGAGCCUUUAAACCCUUUUGUGGUAACCAAACCUUUUCCUAAAAAAUCACCAGAUAUAGUUAACAUAACAAAGAGAUAAUUGUUGUGUUUUGAAUAGAAGGAUGACACACAGCAGGGCAGCCUGACAUAACGUAUACCAAACAAAAAUAUUGUGCACAAUGAACACACAAGGCUGAACCAAUUCAAAUUUACAGGUAGCAUUAAAUGAUUGAAUUGAUUUGACAUGACCACCAGAUCCACUACCAUAUUCCAUAAAAGAUCUACAUUGUUAUAUUCAAGGUGGUAAUGGACGUAACCAGAUAGGCUAUUUUUGUUAUCCGCAAAUUAAGGUGGCAUUUAGUUGGUGAUUGGUUCACUUUGCCUCAGCCUGACUGUCAGUGGUGGAGUGCACAAAGCAGCAAUUGGUUUCUUUAUACAAAAUUAGAGCAGUGAUUAAGUAUCACCCAUGCAUGUUGAGCAACUUAACAUGAUAACAGACACCGCGAAGCUCCAUACGUGCCUCCUUUACUAAGAAAGACCCUGCAUGAGAAUGCAAUGUCGGGAGCAUCUAAUCUACCAAUUAAUCACCAGGUCUAGGUAAAACAGAUUUGACAAUUGACAUGCUUUGGAUUUUGGGCAUCCAAAAACUUCUUUGGAUGACAAUGAGACGCAAAAUCCAAAAAUUGGAUUCUAAAAUUAGGCGUAUGCUUGAACCUAUUUCUGUGCCAAACCACUGGUAACAGAUUAGCAACCAAGAACGGAGCUAGGUGUGUAACUCCAUUGUCUCUUUGUGUGUUGCUUUUACUUUAGUUCUUAGUCCACAACAGGUUGUAUGAACACACCACAAACACACAGUAAACAUACGAGUUGAGUAUGUUUGUAUGAGCCAAAAGAAAGUUCUCUACCAAAUUUUCUGAGAAAACCCGCACAUGUUCUGUAACAUUUUCUUUCAUUUGGCAGCAUUAGCAAGUAAUUUCCCCCCCCCCAUUUUAUCCUUUUGCAAGGAAUAAACACACACUGCAGCUUCCAGAUAGGUACGUAUGCAUGCAGUCAGGCCUUGAAUCAAGUAAACGGAGCAAAAACAAUUUGGUUUUACCAACAUUUCUGAGAAACUUCGCACAUGUUUCAAUCUCAGUAAGCACGUGCUUUUUCACGAGGAAUAAUUAUGCGGUUAACUGUAAAAUCCAUCAAUAAUCUGCUCCAUAAUCCUUGGUGCCAGUGUCACACAAAUUAAACAAAAUUGCUACAAGUUCAACUAUCCUGAAUAUGUAACUGUAAUCAGCUGCAUGAAACCCAAACAACACACCAUGUGCUGCAAUUGAGCCUUAUCUCCUAAAUGUCCUCAACACUGGCACAGUAUACUGCGAAUCUAACAAAGAAAAACCAUAAUCAAUGCCUUAUGAAUGACACUACCCAUAGACCGUGUGAACAAUCAGUACUAAGAGCUCAAUUGCACACCCCAGAUUAGACGAACACCUUAAGACACAACCUUAUGGAAUAUAAUCAAAUCUGAUCUCCUGCCAGUCAAAAACCUUAUCAAAUUACGAGAGGCCUAAAAUAGAAAGGGAGCCAGCCAGGACCAAAGAUCGCAGAGCCCUAACCCUAACGGACGUGUCGAGCCGAACGAGGAGGUGGAGGGGACGGCGGUGUUACCAUAUCCAACGACGGCUCCGACGAGGGAACCGGCGGCCGACUCCCAGGCGAAGCGGAGGAGGCAGACCCCAGGNNNNNNNNNNNNNNNNNNNNNNNNNNNNNNNNNNNNNNNNNNNNNNNNNNNNNNNNNNNNNNNNNNNNNNNNNNNNNNNNNNNNNNNNNNNNNNNNNNNNNNNNNNNNNNNNNNNNNNNNNNNNNNNNNNNNNNNNNNNNNNNNNNNNNNNNNNNNNNNNNNNNNNNNNNNNNNNNNNNNNNNNNNNNNNNNNNNNNNNNNNNNNNNNNNNNNNNNNNNNNNNNNNNNNNNNNNNNNNNNNNNNNNNNNNNNNGACUUCAAUGAUUGCCGUAAAAGAUAGCGCGUGAGAGCCCCAUACCUGACCAAACGAGCCGGCCCGACACGGCCCAUGGUAAUCGGGCCUGGCACGGCACGGCCCGUCCAGGCACGUUUAUUAAUCGGGUCGUGUCGUGUCAGCCCGUGGGCUGCGCCUCUAGGCCUGUAAGAUUUGAGAGAGAGAGGUUUUGGAUCAGCACACUUUAUUCAAUCUAAACCAUGAUGUCUAACAGAAAACCCUAAGGAGGUAGUCAGCGGCAGCAAUCGUGCGAGGUGGGUUAGUGCUGGGUUAUCGAUUCCGAGGCAUGCGGACGUGCAUGCGUGCUGGGUCAUCGCCAUGCAUGGGCUUGCUUGAGGGCCAAGUCGGCCGACGCCAUGGGCUGUAGUGAGGUCUAUUCCAAAACCACCCCUCCCCCCCCCCGCCCGCAGUCGAUGCCUCGCUGUCGGAGAUGCAUAGACCGGAGCGGAAUUCCCGAAACAUCGACGGUGGAAGCCCCUUGGUCAUGACGUCGGCGAACUGUUGAGCCGUAGGUACGUGAAGAACACGGACAUGCCCCAGCGCCACCUUCUCGCGGACGAAAUGGAUGUCGAGCUCGAUGUGCUUGGUGCGACGGUGAUGGAUGGCAGAGAGGUACACCGCCGAGACAUUGUCGCAGUAGACUACCGUGGCUUUGGCGACGCCGCAUUGUAGCUCAGUUAAGAGCUGACGCAGCCACGAGCACUCGGCAACCGCAUUGGCAACGGCAGGGUACUCGGCCUCCGCGCUAGAGCGGGACACGGUGGGUUGCCGUUUGGACGACCACGACACCAGCGAAGGCCCCAUGUAGAUGCAGUAGCCAGAGGUGGAGCGGCGAGUGUCGGGGCAGCCGACCCAGUCGGCGUCGGAGUAGGCGACGAUGUCGAGCGACGAGGAGGCGCAGAGAGAGAGCCCAAGCGAGGGCGACCCGUGGAUGUACCUCAAGAUGCGCUUCACCAAUGUCCGGUGAACGUCACACGGAGCAUGCAUUGUGGAGGCAGACUUGUUGCACCGCGUACUCGAGAUCGGGCCUCGUCAGUGUCAGGUACUGGAGGGCGCCGACGAUGCUGCGGUAGAAGGAGGCAUCGGAGAAGGGGACGCCAGCCUGCCCUAAGACCUUGCCCGAGGUGUCGAUGGGGGUAGAUGCUGGCUUACAGUUGAUCAUGCCGGCGCAGUCCAGCAGUUCGAGGGCGUACUUCUUCUGGCAGAGGAAGAAGCCAUCGGAGCGGCGCGUGACCUCCACGCCCAGGAAGUAAUGGAGCGCGCCAAGGUCCUUCAGGGCGAACUCGCAUUGAAGGAGACCGACGACGCGACGGAGGAGAGCGUCGGUGGAGGCCGUCAAGACAAUGUCAUCGACGUACAGCAGAAGGUACACCAUGUCAGUGCCACGGCGGUAGACGAACAACGAUGCGUCGGACCUGGUGAUGACGAAGCCGACACGGACCAGGAACGCGGUAAUGCGUUGGUACCAGGCGCAGGGAGCGUGCUUGAUGCCGUAGAGGGACCGAGAGAGCAGGCAGACGUCGUCGGGGCGCGCAGGGUCGACGAAGCCAGCCGGCUGCUGGCAGAAAACUUGCUCCGUCAGGUGCCCGUGCAAGAAGGCGUUGGAGACGUCGAGUUGAUGGACGACCCAGCGGCGCGAGUAGGCGAGCUGAAGGACACAAUGACUCGUGCCCGGCUUCACGACGGGGGCGAAAGUCUCGGUGAAGUCGUGUCACGCCCAAGAUGCGACCCUAUCCUCAAUUUGGCACGAGGGCCUCGUCAGGGAUAGAAGCGCAUCUCGUCGUGUCGCAAGAAUGGAUAUCGUUACAAGUACAUGUACUAAAAGGAAGAGAUAUAUAAUAGAAUUGGCUUACACUUGCCACAAGCUACAUCAGAGUCACAUCAGUACAUUACAUAUUCAUCAUGAAGAAGAGCAGGGUCCGACUACGGACGAAAACAAACGAGAAAAGAAGAACGGCGUCCAUCCUUGCUACCCCAGGUUGCCGGCCUGGAACCCAUCCUAGAUCGAUGAAGAAGNNNNNNNNNNNNNNNNNNNNNNNNNNNNNNNNNNNNNNNNNNNNNNNNNNNNCCUUUACCUGUAUCUGCAACUGGUGUUGUAGUAAUCUGUGAGCCACAUGGGACUCAGCAAUCUCAUUUCCAAAGGUAUCAAGACUAGCAAAGCUUAAUGGGUGAGGUAAGGUUAAGUGGUGAGGUUGCAGCAGCGGAUAAGCAUAUAUUUGGUGCCUAAACUUACGAGUACAAGAAAUAAGAGGGGGAAGAUCUACGCAUAACGGACGUGAACUACUGGUGAUCAAAGGAAUGAUCCUGAGCACCUACCUACGUCAGACAUAACCCCACCGUGUCCUCGAUCGGAGUAAGAACUCACGAAAGAGACAGUCACGGUUACGCACCUAGUUGGCAUGUUUUAAUUAAGUUAUCUUCAAGUUAUCUAGAACCAGUGUUAAACAAAGCUUCCACGUUGCCACAUAACCGCGGGCACGGCUUUCGGAAAGAUUCAACCCUGCAGGGGUGCUCCAACUAGUCCAUCACAAAUUACCACAAGCCGCAUAGAAAUCCUCAAUCACGAAGCUCGCGAUCUCGUCGGAUUUCCUAGUGGAAAACCUCAACUCUGAGAUUACCCAAAGCAUCACCGGAAUCCCGAUGCACAAGAUAUCUCGUCAAAGGUAAAACUAAUCCAGCAAGGCCACCCGCGCGUGUCGACGAUCCCGAUAGGAGCCGCGUAUCUCGUUCUCAGGACACGAUGGAUGAGCGACGCGUACGGUGGCCUGAUAGAAAUCACCCAAGUUUCCCUGGGUUGGCCCCGCACAGUGCUCUGUUUUGGACCAGCACCAUCAGCACUGGCCCUCCCUGUAUUAUGUAGAAUUACUCCUCGGGUUCAUGACGCCCUAUGCUUUCAGUAUUAACAAAAUUAUUAUGUUGGGAAAAUGUAGUACCAAUGUUGGGCCUUGCCAGACCAGCUUUAAUCUAAAACGAAUUAUCAAGGGGGUCCCCAUAACAACCCCCAUCGUGUUAGGAGCGCUCAAUUAUGGAACAUAACACCGGUAGCCGAAACUAAGGGGGCAAAGGUGGAACAAAACACCAGGCUAGAAAGGCCGAGCCUUCCACCUUUUACCAAGUAUAUAGGUCCAUUAAAUUAAAUAGCAUUAAUAUGGUGAUAUGACAAGGAACUCAUGUUUUCACAUGGAAGCAACUACACCUGCAACUAGCAACGCUAACAACAUGGUUAAGCAAGCAGUAGCAUAGCCAAUCAGUGGUUUGCUAGGUUGAACAAGUUGAAGGUUUCAUGGCAUUGUUGAGAGGCUGAUAUUUAACAUGUGGUAGGCAACGAGACAUAAUCGAUAGAAGCGGUAAAACUAGCAUGGCAAUGAUAGUAAUGGUAUCCGGGGAAAUGGUCAUCUUGCCUGAGAUCCCACUUGGAAGAAGAACAACUCCGUGAAGUCGGCGAACCAAUGUGGUCAGACGGGUCCUCACAUUCCGACACGCUUGCGGAACUCUAUUGAGACGGAGCAAACCGGAAACAAACAUCAACACAGAUAUUCACCACACGAUGCACAACAUGAUGCAUACCCAAUAUGAUGCAUGGACGCCCAACCCCUAAUGAUGCACUUAAACCAUCCUACAUCGGUAAACAGGUGCCACAUCAUCAUGAAGUGACACCUCAGCAGGACUGCCCAAAACUGGAAACUACUAACUCCAUUGGAUUCCUUGGGUUCUCCUCCCCCAAAUCUAUAUACUACACUCCUAUAUAUGCAUGCAGAAAAACACCAGAAACAGCAAAGGAAAAACUACACAAGAUCAAACUCUGCUAACAACAAGAACAGGGGUUGUUCUUGAUAUGCCAGAUUUGGCAUAUACCUCUUCUGAAAUAUCCAGAUAUGGAAAUACAUCACAACACCAAUCAACAAAAUUAUAUAAUCGUCAGGGGGUCCCACUGGUCAUACUCACCAGGGCCCCUAGUAAGGCAUGUGGGCUCUGGACCCACUGACAGAGGCACACUACAACAAGCAACUAAAAACACAAGGGAAAAAACUAACAUGGGAGUAGGGGGACUCGAACCCACUACCUUCUUGCAAGACAACAGGGCAAUCACCACUGAGCUAGGCUCGGAUCACUGCCCUAACAAGGGGAGUAACCCACCUAUGCUACACGUGCAGACAACGCAACAAAUUGAAACAAAAACCCAAAUAAGAGGACGCGCGAGGGGCUCGAACCCUCGACCUACUGGCGCUGCAGUGGCUCGGUUGCCACUACGAUGGUGAAGUAUAACUGCUAGAACAAGGGAAGAAAUGCACAUAUGCAGGCUCUGCUAGCUAGCACAGGAGAACAAAAAUCGUAGAGAAUAAAAGGGGGGCGCUGGGUCUCGAACCCGAGACGUUGAGAACGAAAACAUGCUCGAUGCCACUGCGCUACCGUGGGGAUUCUGCCUAAGAAGGGAGCAAAGCAGAUCUAAAAGAAAACAUGGGGCGUCGCUGGAGCAGGGAGACGCCGGCGACGACGACGCGCGCCAGAGCCACUCGCCUGCAGGCGCAUACGACGCACAACCACGCGAUGCGCUACGUCCCUCGCGUCACUACAUAGCAGGCGCGGAACCUACGCCUAUAAGACGCAUGCACGCAGAGCUGCGGAAACUAGCGCAUCCUGCCGGUGCAACUCCGACAGGGCGGCGCCCACGCGCAACAUCGGCGACCUACUGCAGAGAGGGAAACGAAGGGGGGAUAGAGCUGCGCUCACCCAGGGUGCAGAGAGAGGGCUCGCGGGAGGGGAGACACGCCGCGCGACGACGUCCUGCUGCAGAGAACUCGUCGGAGAGGAAGAAGGACCAUCCGCCGAGGAGGUCGAGGCCGUCGUCCUUGGCGCUAGCUGCCCGUGGGAAUGGAACUCCAUGGGCGCCCGCGAGCUCCUGGUCCAGGAGGGGGAAGAAGGGGGCGUCGGGCUACCACGCAUCAGGCACUUGCCCGAGCCGGCCAUGGUGCGGUGGAGCUCGGGAACUCGCCCCGACGGCGCUAGGAGGGANGACGAGGGUUAGGGUUUCAGAGAGUCCGAGGCUGCUAAGUAUCUCGCACCACCCGCUCGGGGCCGUCUGAUCGAGGGAAGAAACGAUCUAUGGUGGUCAGGGGGUUCGUACGUGCUGACAUGAUCGAGGAGGAAGAAGCUGCCGCCAGCCAGGCCUGGGCUGAUUGCACUCACCUGGGCCUGGUGCUCCCUCUCUCACUGAGAAGGCCUACCUAAUAAAACAUUACAGCGAAAAUCAAACCACACGGGCUAAAGGAAAAUAGUUUUGGUGGAAACAAAAAUAUAACUGGGCUUUUAAAAUGUUGCCACUGUUUAUAAAAAUAAGUGGAACAUUUUUAGAAGUCCAAAAUUAUAUUCAUCUAAUUUAAAUGGGCUUUGAUUUUUUAAAUAAGAUAAGAAGGAAAGUAAAGUAGAAACCAGAGGGGUUGCCUCCACAAAAUGAAAAGGAUUUUUUUUAGGGAAAGAUGAACAUUUUUUUAAAUGGAGAAACAAAGCCUUUUAAACCUGCCACAAAUUAACAUAGAGAGAGAAGGGUUUUCUCCUUAUGGAGCAACAUGUGGGUUUUGACAUGCACUUGUUGCCCCCACACCUAAACAAUCACUAAGGACAUCAACACAACACUUGCACAUCACAACAAGGACACCCACAUCAACACAACCACAACAAAAGGGAAAGAAUGCAAUGCAAGAAGGCAUGAUGCACAUGAAAUGAUGACACAAAGUUAGGCUCACCCCACAUCACACCAACAUGCCAAGGUUGCCAUACAAGGAGGAUACAAAAGGGGAGGGGAGAUUGCACUUGGGCUGUCACAAGUCGAGACCAGCCCGUUGCCGGAAGCCGCGAACGACCCAGCUGCCAGGUGCGAUUCCUCAGUAGCGCGUCGUACUCGUCUUGCAUGACGGCGCGCCAGUGAGGGUCCCGGAGCGCCGAGUGGACGGACGCAGGGAGCGGCGAAGGAGCCGUCGUGGUGGCAGUGCAGACGUACUCGUUGGAGGAGUACCUCUGGCUGGGUCGAUGGACACCCGCGCGCGCACGGGUAAGCACUCCGAAGUGUACGGGGGCAGCAGGUGGGGCAGUUGAGGGAGAGGCCGGCCCCGUACUGGGCACGGGGGCAGCAGGUGGUGGAGGCGUCGUGCCGACAGGAGCGGGGCCCGGUGGUGCAGGAGACGGGGCCGAGACGCCCGGGGCAACUAGCGGAGAAGNNNNNNNNNNNNNNNNNNNNNNNNNNNNNNNNNNNNNNNNNNNNNNNNNNNNNNNNNNNNNNNNNNNNNNNNNNNNNNNNNNNNNNNNNNNNNNNNNNNNNNNNNNNNNNNNNNNNNNNNNNNNNNNNNNNNNNNNNNNNNNNNNNNNNNNNNNNNNNNNNNNNNNNNNNNNNNNNNNNNNNNNNNNNNNNNNNNNNNNNNNNNNNNNNNNNNNNNNNNNNNNNNNNNNNNNNNNNNNNNNNNNNNNNNNNNNNNNNNNNNNNNNNNNNNNNNNNNNNNNNNNNNNNNNNNNNNNNNNNNNNNNNNNNNNNNNNNNNNNNNNNNNNNNNNNNNNNNNNNNNNNNNNNNNNNNNNNNNNNNNNNNNNNNNNNNNNNNNNNNNNNNNNNNNNNNNNNNNNNNNNNNNNNNNNNNNNNNNNNNNNNNNNNNNNNNNNNNNNNNNNNNNNNNNNNNNNNNNNNNNNNNNNNNNNNNNNNNNNNNNNNNNNNNNNNNNNNNNNNNNNNNNNNNNNNNNNNNNNNNNNNNNNNNNNNNNNNNNNNNNNNNNNNNNNNNNNNNNNNNNNNNNNNNNNNNNNNNNNNNNNNNNNNNNNNNNNNNNNNNNNNNNNNNNNNNNNNNNNNNNNNNNNNNNNNNNNNNNNNNNNNNNNNNNNNNNNNNNNNNNNNNNNNNNNNNNNNNNNNNNNNNNNNNNNNNNNNNNNNNNNNNNNNNNNNNNNNNNNNNNNNNNNNNNNNNNNNNNNNNNNNNNNNNNNNNNNNNNNNNNNNNNNNNNNNNNNNNNNNNNNNNNNNNNNNNNNNNNNNNNNNNNNNNNNNNNNNNNNNNNNGGAGGCGAGCUGGAGACCUGUUGAAAGGGAAAAACAUACUCGUCAAAGUACACGUACCUGGAGAUGAGAACUCGCCCAGAUGCCGGAUCGAAGCAACGGAAACCCUUGGUAUUGGGGGGGGGGUAGCCGAAGAAUACGCAGAGAAUAGACUGGGGGCGAGUUUAUGUGGAGAAGUAGCGAGAAGAUUAGGAUAACAGAGGCAACCAAACACCCGGAGGUUGUCGUAGGAGGGUUGGUGACCAAAGAAGAGGUGAUCGGGAGUGAAUUGGCCACGAGCACGGUAGGGGCGCAGGUUGAGGGUGUGGGUGGCGCUGGAGAGAGCCUCGGUCCAGAACCGGGGCGGAACGGCGGCGUGAAGGAGCAGCGCACGAACAACGUCGUUGAGGGUACGAAGAGCACGUUCGGCACGCCCAUUUUGCUGGGAUGUAUACGGGCAUGUAAGGCGGAGGAUGGAACCGUGCGCGGAAAGCAAAGAGUGGAUGCCAUGGUUGUCGAAUUCGCGCCCGUUGUCGGUUUGGAGGCCGAGUAUAGGGCGGGAAAACUACGUUUGAACAAAGGCGAAGAACGAAGUGAGCGUGGGGAGGACAUCCGACUUGCGAUGCAACGGAAAAGUCCAUACAAAGUGCGAGAAAUCAUCGAGAAGCACCAAGUAGUAUUGAAACCCUGAAUUGCUUAUUAUUGGAGAGCACCAUACAUCACAAUGCAACAAUUCAAAUGGAAAACGAGAGAUGUGAGAAGAAGAAAAAGGAAGGCGAGUGCUCUUGCCCAAACGGCAAGCAGAGCACGAGUGAGGCGCACUUUUAAUACAUUGAAAAAGAUUGCUACGGAGGAGCUGGUGCAUGGUCGAGGCACCGGGGUGCCCCAAGCGGGCAUGCCAGAUAUCGACGCCCGCGCGAGGAGGGCGACGCCGGAGCGGAUAGAGAUCACCAGGGCUAUCACAUCGGAGCAGCACCGUCUUGGUCCGCAGGUCCUUGAUGGAGAAACCAAAGGGGUCAAAUUCAACCAAAACAAAAUUCUGACGAGUGAGUGCACGAACAGAAAUGAGAUUAGUGAUAAGCUGAGGAGAAACGAGCACAUCAUAGAGUUUAAUGGGAGAAUGAGGGGAGAGAGAGAUCACCGUGGUGUGUGAUGGGGAGAGAGGAACCAUCACCCACCACGAUGCGAGUAGAUGUAGGGAAGGGUUUAGACUGGGAGAGGAUACCAGGGUGGGAGGCCAUGUGGGAGGAUGCGCCAGUGUCCAUGAACCAGUCGUCGUUGCCGGAGUAGGCGGCCGACGAGGGAGCCUGAUGCAGGGCCGCCAGGAGCGCUGGAUCGUAGGGGGAGGACGCCCCGCCGGAGUUGCUGAGCCAGUGCCCAGGGGGCGUGGNNNNNNNNNNNNNNNNNNNNNNNNNNNNNNNNNNNNNNNNNNNNNNNNNNNNNNNNNNNNNNNNNNNNNNNNNNNNNNNNNNNNNNNNNNNNNNNNNNNNNNNNNNNNNNNNNNNNNNNNNNNNNNNNNNNNNNNNNNNNNNNNNNNNNNNNNNNNNNNNNNNNNNNNNNNNNNNNNNNNNNNNNNNNNNNNNNNNNNNNNNNNNNNNNNNNNNNNNNNNNNNNNNNNNNNNNNNNNNNNNNNNNNNNNNNNNNNNNNNNNNNNNNNNNNNNNNNNNNNNNNNNNNNNNNNNNNNNNNNNNNNNNNNNNNNNNNNNNNNNNNNNNNNNNNNNNNNNNNNNNNNNNNNNNNNNNNNNNNNNNNNNNNNNNNNNNNNNNNNNNNNNNNNNNNNNNNCGCUGCAGAGAGGACUGCUGCAUCCUCCGCUCCUUGAGGCGCAAGUAGUUGAUGGCGCGGGCGAACGUCGGCUCGGUGAGAAGGUUGAGAUUAGAAGCAGCGUUGGCGUAGUCUGAACCGAGCCCACGGAUCAGGUUCGUGAGCAUGGUGGCGUCAGAGACCGGGGCGCCCACGUCGCGGAGCUCGUCGGCGAGCACCUUGAGGCGGAGGCAGUAGUCGAAGAGCCCCAUGCCUUCCUGGGAGAGGCUGUAGAACUCGGUCGUGAGAAGCACAUGACGCUGGAGCUGAUUGUCGAGGAAGAGCUGGCAGAUGGAGGUCCAAAUGCCGAGGGCCGAGUCAUCGUCGCGGAUGACGUGCGAGAGGAUCUCGUUGCUGACGGUGCGAUAGAGCCACUUGAUGGUAGUGGCGUCAACCCUCAUCCAGUUGGCAUCGUCGCGCAUGGCGCGGGCGUCAACCGAUCUGUCGACAUGAUCCCGAAUUUGGAAUUCGCGGAAGGUCAACGAGACGUAGGUGCGCGAGGUGGAGAAGGAGGGUGUGUGGAUAUCCAGGACGACGGGGACGUGAUCCUGGAUGUGGAUGAGCCGAAGGCUGGCGGCAGAGGCAGGCUCGAGAACGGCAAAGGGGUUGACCUCGCCGGCGAGGGAGGAGCGAGGGGAGGCCAUCGCGGCGGUGGGUAGCGGAAGCGAGGAGAGGAUCAGAAGAAAACUAAUACCAUGUAAGAUUUGAGAGAGAGAGGUUUUGGAUCUGCACACUUUAUUCAAUCUAAACCAUGAGUAUUUAUACAGGUAGAUGAUCAGUGUCUAACAGAAAACCCUAAGGAGCUAGUUAGCGGCAGUGACCGUGCGAGGUGGGUUAGCAUUGGGUUAUCGAUUCCCAAGCAUGCGGACGUGCAUGCGUGUUGGGUCAUCGCCAUGCAUGGGCUUGCUUGAGGACCAAGUCGGGCCGACGACAUGGGCUAUAGUGAGGCCUGUUUCAACACCAGGCACGACCCGAUUAUUAAACGGGUCGGCAUGUUGGCCCGAUUAGCACGCUNCACGUGCCCAGCCUCCAGGCCCAGGCACGGUCCGAGGCGUGCUUCGUGUCGAGCCCGAGCACGAUUAGCCCGUGCCGGGCCGGGCCGGGCCCGUGUCGUGCCAGACACGCGGGCUGUCGGGCAAGCCCAUUUACCCGGCCCCCAUUUGGCGAGAUCUGGUUCCAGCAGACACUGUAACAAAAUCGAUGCACGUGUGGUAGUGGUGGAAAGGCACGUGGAGAAGGCGUUGAAUUUAUAAUGUGCGCCGAGCACCAUGCGCCAAAUCUAACACGUGUCGGGCCGCCUUUUCCCGUGCUUAAACUUUUCCCGCGCGUCAGAAUCUUUCGCGUGCGCUGGAGUGCACGCUAAAAUUCAAUUUUCCCUUGUGCCCACGUUUUUUAAGUCACUGUUGGAGAUGCUCUCGGGGGAACCAACUUGAGGGAGCGUGGUAUUCUUAGUCGGCCAGGUUUAAAUCUUGUGCUCGUAUUAUUUUUGAAAUUAUUUUAGGAUUUUCAGCAAUGCGCAUUUAGUGAAAAGAAUCAUUUUUGUCGACGACGAGGCGCCUAGAGUGAUUUAGUAAAUCUUAAGAUGAUAUGGUGGCUCAGUCUCUCGAAUGUGAUCAUAAGGAUAGGGUGUACGUAUAUGAGUUCAUAGGGAUGAUUAUAUACACGUGUAUAUGAGCGCUUACGUAUGUACUGUGUUAGAAAAAUACCGUCGCAUAGAAGAACACGGUUUUUUAUUUUAGAGGAAUGACCAUGUGUCUAUUAAACAAACAAUUACAAUGAAUACAUACAUAUAUACACNAUAUAUAUAUGGGGGGGGGGUCUCUUCAUGACUCAAGUGAAUGACAAGGACAAGGUUGAGAUGCCAUCUUUAUAUCAAAAUUUGUAUCAAUCAUUUCAUGACUCAAAUGGUCUGCUACAAUAAUUUCAAAGGUAUGGCACCCUCAAUCCAUCUCCCAAUAUCGUUCAAUUGCUCUUGGCACGGUGAUGUAUAAGAUUGUUGUUAAGGUAGUAGCUAAUCGUAUGAGGGGCAAUAUGAAGGUGAUCAUUAGUGAAGAGCAAAGUAUUUUUGUGCCUCGGUAUUUAAUUAAUGACAACAUUGUAUUUGCAUAUGAAAGUGUGGACACUAGGAGGCGACAAAAGAAGGGCAAGAGUUUCUCAUGCAUUGUUAAAUUGGUGAUGAAAGCCUACAACUGAAUUGAGUGGCAUUACUUGGAAGCCAUCUUGAUGAAGUUGGGUUUUAGCAUCGAUUUCGUAAGACUUAUUACGAAAUAUGUUUCGUCGGUCAGAUUCUCGGUAAGGGUGAAUCAAGAUCUUCUACCAUACUUCACUCCUACAGGGGGAUUGCGACAUGGCGUCCCAAUGUCAUUAUACCUAUUUCUGCUAUGUGUGGAAAGUUUUUCCUCGCUACUCAAAUACUAUGAUGGUGGCUAUGUGGACAAGGGGACCAGAGUCAAUUAUAGAUCACCGCGGGUGAGCCAUUUAUUAUUUGUCGAUGAUAGCCUCAUCUUCCUCAAUGCAACAAGGUUGAACUCCAUUAUUGAGAUAUGUGGAAGUGCUUCAGGGCAGAGUGUGAAUAUAGAUAAGCGGGCCAUCUAUUUUAGUCCUAACACACCGGAUCCGGUUCGACAAUUGCUGAAAACAUCCUUGGAUAUUCAUGUCGAGGCUUUCAUUGUAAAGUAUCUUGGUCUUCCAACAGCUGUGGGGCGCAUUACAAUUGAACUUUUGUACACAUGGAGAUAGGGCUCGAGGGAAGAUGCAAGAGUAGUUGGAAAAGUUAAUAGCUUGCGCCGGGAGAGAUGCAGUAUUGAAGUUCGUUGUUCAAGCGCUCCCGUUGUACAGUAUGACCACUUUUAUCUUGAACAAGAAAGUCUAUAAGAGCAUCACUUCACCAAUGGCAGAGAAAUUAUGGAGUAUCUCUUUGGACAAGAAAUCUAUGCAUUGGGUUUCAUGGUAUAAACUUGCGACUCCAAAGCGCAAAGAGGGCAUGGGAUAUUGAGACAUGCACCCCUUUAAUUUGGCUUUGCUAGGGAAGCAUGGUUGGCAUUUAUGACCUAGCCUAUAUUCCUAUAUGCAAGGGUUUUGAAGGGUCGCUACUUCCCGCACAUUGAUUUCAUGAAUGUUGUUCUUCCUCGCUCGGUAUCAGCUACAUGGCAUGCUACAAUUGCAGGAAUGGAAUCACUAAAGUUUGUUAUGAUAAAGCGAGCUGGUGAUGGAUCACCAAUUUCGUUUUGGGAUGAUAAAUGGACCGCGGGAAGUAUUUCCAUGACACCGAUGCUGAAACCGGAGAACGGGUGAUUGAAAAGGUCCCUGAGUUGAUUGAUUAGGACAAAUGUACAAGGAAUCAACAUGUGGUCAUAGAUACUUUUAUCCCGUCUCAUGCAGAUGCCAUUCUAAACGUUCCAAUUCGGCAAGGUGGAUGCAAUGAUUUUCUUGCUUGCGCAUUUGAAAAGCCAGGAAACUACAGUGUUAAAUCAGCGUACCAUAUCUCAUGACUUAAAAAGAGUGUUUGACUCUGGAAAAAGGAACGGCUACCGAGACCUCAAAGAGUGGUCAACAAUUAUGGAGUGCACUUCAGAAGUUGAAUGUUUUGCCAAGGGUUAGGGUGUUCUAGUGGAGGGUCUUGCAUGGAAUCAUGCUGGAUAUGCUUUAGGAGGGGCGCACAUUCCUGAUCUUCCCCAUGCCUGUCAGGCGAGCGAGGGCUGGGUGCGGUGCAUGUGCUCGGGUUAGCCCCAAUAGAGCAGAAAAAUCCAAGCGAUUGAGCUCUAGCUCACGGGCCUGCUCUCGUGUACAUCACCUCACCAGGUCCUUGAUGCUCUUGUCUCCUCGCGUAACAUCCAAAGGCAACCCCACGAGCGCCCUCGCUGCACUACUCUUGGCAAUUUCCCUGGUGCAAGAUAUCGAAGGCCUCAUGAGCCCCUGAUACGUCCAUUUUGCAUCAUGCUUUCAUGUUGAUAUUUAUCGCUUCUUGGGGUGUUAUUUCAUUUCACGGUACAAUACUUAUGCCUUUUCUCUCUUAUUUUGCAAGGUUUACAUGAAGAGGGAGAAUGCCGGCAACUGGAAUUCUGGCCUGAAAAAGGAGCAAGUUUGAGAUGCCUAUUCUGCGCAACUCCAAAAGCCAUGAAAAUCAACGUGGAUUUUUUUGGGAAUUUAUAAAAAAUACUGGGAUGAAGAAGUGCCAGAGGAGCGCAACCAGGGGGCCACAAGCCUCGUAGGCGCGACCACCCCCCUGGCCGCGCCUAGGGGGCUUGUGGGCUCCCUACUGGCCCACUGGCUCCCCUCUUCUGCUAUAUGAAGGGUUUCGUUCCGAAAAAAAAUCAAGAGGAGGCUUUUCGGAGGAUUCGCCGCCGCCACGAGGCGGAAGUUGAGCAGAACCAAUCUAGAGCUCCGGCAGGACGAUCCUGCCGGGGAAACUUCCCUCCUGGAGGGGGAAAUCGUCGCCAUCGUCAUCACGAACACUCCUCUCAUCGGAAGGGACUCAUCACCAUCAACAUCUUCAUUAGCACCAUCUCAUCUCCGAACCUUAGUUCAUCACUUGUAACCAAUCUCCGUCUCCCGACUCCGAUUGGUACUUGUAAGGUUGUUAGUAGUGUUAAUUACUAUUUGUAGUUGAUGCUAGUUGGAUUAUUUGGUGAAAGAGUUUAUGUUCAGAUCCUUGAUGCUACUCAUUACCUCUCUGGUCAUGAAUAUGAUUAUGCUUUGUGAGUAGUUACUUUUGUUCCUGAGGACAUGGGAUAAGUCAUGCUAAUAGUAGUCAUGUGAAUUUGGUAUUCGUUCGAUAUUUUGAUGUGUUGUAUGUUGUUUUUACUCUAGUGGUGUUAUGUGAACGUCGACUACAUAAAAUUUCACCACUAUUUGGGCUAUAGGAAGGAAUUGGGAAGUAGUAAGUAGAUGAUGGGUUGCUAGAUUGACAGAAGCUUAAACCCUAGUUUAUGCGUUGCUUCGUAAGGGGCGGAUUUGGAUCCACUAGUUUAAUGCUAUGGUUAGACUUUGUCUUAAUUCUUCUUUCGUAGUUGCGGAUGCUUGCGAGAGGGGUUAAUCAUAAGUGGGAUGCUUGUCCAAGUAAGGGCAGUACCCAAAUGCCGGUCCACCCACAUAUCAAACUAUCAAAGUAACGAAAGCGAAUCAUAUGAACAUGAUGAAAACUAGCAUGACAGAAAUUCCCGUGUGUCCUCGGGAGCGUUUUUCCUCCUAUAAGACUUUGUCCAGGCUUGUCCCUUGCUACAAAAGGGAUUGUGCCACUUUGCUGCACCAUUGCUACUUUUGUUACUUGUUGCUUGUUGCGAAUCAUCUCACCACACAACCACUUGUUACCGAUAAUUUCAGUGCCUGCAGAUAUUACCUUGCUGAAAACCACUUGUCAGAUCCUUCUGCUCCUCAUUGGGUUCGACACUCUUACUUGUAGAAAGGACUACGAUAGAUCCCCUAUACUUGUGGGUCAUCAGCCCCCCAUCACGAGGCCUCGCAAGCUGCUCCCUAUGGAGGACUCACUCCAAGCUGCACACCUCAAAGGAGCUAAGUCUAAAACACCCCUCGGGUUUUAUACCUCUCAUUCACCUCUCAAGGCAUCUUGAUUUCCUUGGCACGAGACGCCUACACGUCAAGGGGGACCCUGAGCAUCGUGCCUUAGGGACUCCUACCAUCCCUAAGAUCCCUACACCAUGUGGCCUUGUUGAGCGCAUGCUCUACACAUACCAGCAACGGUUGUAGCCCGUCCCGGGGGCUGGGUCCAAGCGACACAAGGCACAAAGGCAACCUAAAAGGGAAAUAAAGGCCUCGAGAGGAAAACAAAAACACAUAAAACAUCAACUACUUAAGACAAAAGUGCCAUAAGAAUGUUUUCACACACCCACGAGGCUGCAUAUACUUUAUUACAGCAAUGCGCCAAGGGGAGUCUAGGCGGACGAGGCACCACUGUCGUUACUCUCGCCAUCAUUGUGAGGGGUCUCUCUACCACAACCGAUGUGAUCCCUCGCAACCUCUCGUCUGAAACCAAAGUGACUAUCGAGGCAGAGAAGGUUGUCGAAAAGUCGCAUCGUCGCCAGGGUCAACAAGUCACGACACGCCUCCUCGACGAUGGCGUCCACAUCAAGCAGUUGCUUCUUGAGGUCGUCGACCUCGGCCUAGAGCUUGCCCCGCUGGCCCGUGAGGCCCUUCUGUUCAUCGAGAGUAGCCUGGGCGGAAACCAACUUGCACUCCUUCGCCAAUAGGCGCUCCCGCUCUGCCUCCCACGCAGACGGGAAAGACGAUAACUCGCGCUCCCGGGUCUCGAUGUUCGCCUCGCGGGAGGCGACCGCCCUGGGGCGCCUCAAGACCUCCUCCUCAUGUUUUGUGAGCUCGACUUAGCAGGGCGUGGGACAGCUCUCGGAGGCCUCCAUAGCCUCCUCCCGCAUUUUGAGCGGACGCUCGCAUAAAGCAGGUGGUUCCUAGAGCAUCUUCUCGUCGGCAUGAGGCCCCCUCCCGUUGUCGCUUGGCCUCCUGGCAUUAUCGAGGGCCUUCAUGAGGGACACAUGGGCAUCUUUGGCGAGCUAAUCGUGAUAUGCUUGCGCCUCCUCACCCUGCUGACGGUCUAGCUUCAUCGCCUUCUCAAGCCGGCUCUUCCCCUUCUCCAAGCGUCGCCGCUCCUCCGCGUAGAGCUUUGCCUCUGUGCGCCCCUGGGAGAGUGCCUCCCGAUCCUCGACAGCCUCGCCCUCACCCUCAAGCCGAAGCUCGCCCUCCUCCUUGCCUCCCACCAGUUUUUUCUCCAGGCACGUCGGGGCGACGGGCGAGACGACCGACUCCUUGCUGAUUGCGUUGGGUUCCCUCCAGGCUCAAAUGGUGAUGUAGCACAUCGAAGACAAGUAUUUCCCUCAGUUAUGAAACAAAGGUAUCAAUCUAGUAGGAAGAUCCACAAGACUAUGUAAGCGACACAUGCACACAAAUAGCAAAUCCUUGCAAGCCAACGCGUGGAGAGGUCAUCAAUCCCUCGUGGGUAAAGUAAGGAUAGAUUGAUAUAUGCAAAUAAGAAUGAUAGCAAAUAAAAUGCAGCAUGGUAUUUUUGUUUUUUUAUAAUAUAGAUCUGAAAAUAAAAGAGAAAACAAAAUAGAAACAUGAAUAGCAAAUUAGAGGUUGCAAAUAGAUGAUGUGAAGUAGAUCCGAUGGCCGUAGGUUUCACUAGUGGCUUCUCUUGAGAAAAUAGCAAACGGUGGGUAGACAAAUUAUUGUUGGGCAAUUGAUAGAAGAGCAGAAAAUUAAGACGAUAUUCAAGACAAUGAUCAUGUGUAUGUUGGAAAUAUGCCCUAGAGGCAAUAAUAAAAUAGUUAUUAUUAUAUUUCCUGUUUCAAGAUAAUCGUUUAUUAUCCAUGCUAUAAUUGUAUUGAAUGAAAGCAUAGAUACAUGUGUGGAUAUAUAGACAAAACAAUGUCCCUAGUAAGCCUCUAGUUGGCUAGCCAGUUGAUCAAGCAUGGUUAAGGUUUUUUGACCAUAUGCAAGUGUUGUCACUUGAUGACCGGAUCACAUCAUUAGGAGAAUGAUGUGAUGGACAAGACCCAAACUUUGAACGUAGCAUGUGAUCGUGUCAUUUUGUUGCUAUUGUUUUCUGCGUGUCAAGUAUUCAUUCCUAUGACCAUGAGAUCAUGUAACUCACUGACACCAGAGGGAUACCUUGUGUGUAUCAAACGUCGCAACGUUACUGGGUGACUAUAAAGGUGCUCUAUAGGUAUCUCCGAAGGUGUCCGUUGAGUUAGCAUGGAUCAAGACUGGGAUCUGUCACUCCGUGUGACGGAGAGGUAUCUCGGGGCCCACUCGGUGAUACAACAUCACAUAUAAGCCUUGCAAGCAAUGUGACUCAAGUGUUAGUCACGGGAUCUUGUAUUACUGAACGAGUAAAGAGACUUGCCGGUAACGAGAUUGAAAUAGGUAUAGGGAUACCGACGAUCAAAUCUCGGGCAAGUAACAUAGCGAAGGACAAAGGUAAUGGUAUACGCUAUUAUAUGAAUCCUUGGCACAGAGGUUCAACCGAUAAGAUCUUCAUAGAAUACGUAGGAUCCAAUAUGGGCAUCCAGGUCCCGCUAUUGGAUAUUGAACGGGGAGUGUCUCAGGUCAUGUCUGCAUAGUUCUCGAACCCGCAGGGUCUGCACACUUAAGGUUCGGUGACGUUUCGGUAUAGUUGAGUUAUAGGUGUUGGUGAACGAAGGUUGUUCGGAGUCCCGGAUGAGAUCACGGACGUCAGGAGGGUUUCCGUAAUGGUCUGGUAACGAAGAUUGAUAUAUAGGAUGGUUUCAUUUGGUCUCUGGAAAGAUUUCGGGCAUUACCGACAGUGUACCGAGAGUGACGAAUGCAUUUCAGGUUUUCACCGGGAGGGGCCCACCCACCCGGGAGAGAGCCUAAUAGCCCAAGGGUGGCGCACCAGCCCUUAGUGGGCUGGUGAGGCCAGCCCAAGUGGGCUAUGGCGGCUAAGGAGAAAAAACCAAAGAGAAAGAAAAAAAGGGGAGGUGGGAAGGAAGAGGAGGAAUCCUCCUUCCCCAAACCGAAUCGGAGUUGGAGUCCUCCUCUCCUCUCUCGGUCGGCGCCCUAGGGGCUCCCUUGAGCCCCAAGGCUAGCCCCUCCCCUCCUCCUAUAUAUACUAGAGGUUUUAGGGUUUUUGAGACACAACUUUGCCACGUGCAACUCAAACCUCUACUUCAUAGUUCUUCCUCUAGAUCGGUUUUCUGCGUAGCUCAGGUGGAGCCCUGCAGGAAUAGAUCAUCACCAUCACCGGCGCACCAUCACGCUGCCGAAGAACUCAUCUACUUACCCGUCUAUCUUGUUGGAUCAAGAAGGCGGAGAUCGUCAUCGAGCUGUACGUGUGCUGAACGCGGAGGUGCCGUCCGUUCGGCGCUAGAUCGGAACGGAUCGUGGGACGACGGUGAUAUGAAUCACGAAGCUGUACCACUACAUCAACCGCGUUUCUUAACGCUUCCCGCUUAGCGAUCUACAAGGGUAUGUGGAUCCGAUCUCCCUCUCGUAGAUGAACAUCAUCAUGAUAGGUCUUCGUGUGCGUAGGGAUUUUUUUGUUUCCCAUGCAACGUUCCCCAACAGUGGCAUCAUGAGCUAGGUUCAUGCGUAGAUGUAAUUUCGAGUAGAACACAAAAAUUUUUGUGGGCGUUGAUGUUCAAUUUGCUGCCCUCCUUAGUCUUUUCUCGAUUCGACGGUAUUGUUGGAUUGAAGCGGCCCGGACCAACAUUACUCGUACGCUUACGAGAGACCGGUUUCAUCGACUAACAUGCAACUUGUUGCAUAAAGAUGACUGGCGGGUGCCUGUUUCUUCAACUUUAGUUGAAUUGGAUUUGACCGAGGCGGUCCUUGGAUAGAGGUUAAAUAGAAAUUUGCAUAUCUCCGUUGUGGUUUUUGCGUAAGUAAGAUGCGAUCAUACUAGAUACCAGUAGCAUCCACGUAAAACAUGCAACAACAAAUUAGAGGACGUCUAACUUGUUUUUGUAGGGUAUGCUUGUGAUGUGAUAUGGCCAAAGACAUGAUGUGAUAUAUUGGAUGUAUGAGAUGAUCAUGUUGUAAUAGUUAAUAUCGACUUACACGUCGAUGCUACGGCAACCGACAGGAGCCAUAGGGUUGUCUUCAAACUAACGUUUGUGUUUGCAGAUGCAUUUACUAUAUUGCUAGGUUGUAGCUUUAGUCGUAAUAGCAUAGAUAGCACGACAACCGCGAUGGCGGCACGAUGAUGGAGAUCAUGGUGUGGCGCCGGUGACGAUGAAGAUCAUGCCGAUGCUUUGGUGAUGGAGAUCAAGAAGCACAAGAUCAUGGCCAUAUCAUGUCACUUAUGAACUGCAUGUGAUGUUAAUCCUUUUAUGCACCUUAUCUUGCUUAGAAUGACGGUAGCAUUAUAAGGUGAUCCCUCACUAAAUUUCAAGAUAAAAUUGUGUUCUCCCCGACUGUGCACCGUUGCGACAGUUCAUUGUUUUGAGACACCACGUGAUGAUCGGGUGUGAUAGACUCAACGUUCACAUACAACGGGUGCAAAACAGUUGCACACGUAGAACACUCGGGUCAAACUUGACGAGCCUAGCAUGUGCAGACAUGGCGGGGGGGGGGGGGGGGCAAGAGACCGAAAUGUCGAGCAUGAAUCGUAUAGUUGAUAUGAUUAGCACAGAUAUGUUUACCACUGAAACUACACUCAACUCACGUGAUGAUCGGACUUGAGUUAGUGAAUUUGGAUCAUGCCACACUCAAGUAACUAGAGGGAUCUCUAUUUGAGUGGGAGUUUAUUAGUAAUUUGAUUAGUUAAACUCUAAUUGUCUUGAACAUAGUCUAAGUCCACUUUGCAAUAUUUUAUGUUGUAGAUCAAUGGCUCACGCAGUAGCAACCCUGAAUUUCAAUACGUUCCUGGAGAAAGCUAAGCUGAAAGAUGAUGGUAGCAACUUUGUAGACUGGGCUCGUAAUCUUAGGAUCAUCCUACAAGCUGGGAAAAAGAAUUAUGUCCUUGAUGCUGCACUAGGAGAUGAACCACCCACUACGUCUGAUCAAGAUGUUUUGAACGCUUGGCAAUCACAUAAGGAGGACUACUCAGUAGUUCAAUGUGCAGUCUUGUAUGGCUUGGAACCGGGACUUCAACGAUGCUUUAAACGUCAUGGAGCAUAUGAGAUGUUCCAGGAGUUGAAGUUUAUCUUUCAGAAGAACGCCCGGAUCGAGAGGUAUGGGACCUCCGAUAAAUUCUAUGCUUGCAAAAUGGAGGAGAAUUCGUCUGUUAGUGAACAUGUGCUCAAAAUGUCUGGGUAUUCAAAUCAUCUAGCCGAGUUGGGGAUUGAACUCCCGCAAGAGGCUAUCAUUGACAGAAUUGUUCAAUCACUGCCACCUAGCUAUAAGAGCUUUGUGUUGAACUAUAAUAUGCAAGGGAUGAACAAGUCACCCCGCGAGUUAUUCACGAUGCUGAAAGUCGCAGAGUCAGAACUCCGGAAAGAACAUCAAGUGUCGAUGGUCAAUAAGACCACUGGUUUCAAGAGAAACAACAAAGGCAAGAAGGGUAACUCCAAGAAGAGCGGCAAAACAGUUGCCAAUCCGACGAAGAAACCCAAGGCUGGACCUAAGCCGGAAACAUGGUUCUAUUAUUGCAAGGGGAUGGGUCACUGGAAGCGCAACUGCCCCAAGUAUUUGGCUGAUAAGAAGUCGGCCAACGCCAAACCAGGUAUAUGUGAUAUACAUGUUAUUGAUGUGUACUUAACCAACUCUCGUAGUAGUGCCUGGGUAUUUGAUACCGGUUCUGUUGCUCAUAUUUGCAACUCAAAGCAGGAACUGCGGAAUAAACGAAGGUUGGCGAAGGAUGAAGUGACGAUGCGCGUGGGAAAUGGUUCCAAGGUUGAUGCAAUCGCCGUCGGCACAGUCUCACUUCAGUUACCAUCAAGAUUAGUUAUGAACUUAAAUAAUUGUUAUUUAGUGCCUGCGUUAAGGAUGAACAUUAUAUCUGGAUCUUUUUUAUUACGAGACGGAUACUCAUUUAAGUCAGAGAAUAAUGGUUGUUCUAUUUUUAUGAGUAAUAUCUUUUAUGGUCAUGCACCCAAUGUGAGGGGUUUGUUCAUAUUGAAUGUUGAUUGUGAGUUAACAAUGAUAGCGCCACCUUUUUGUGGCACUUCUGCUUAGGUCAUAUUGGUGUAAAGCGCAUGAAGAAACUCCAUGCUGAUGGGCUUUUGGAGUCACUUUAUUUUGAAUCACUUGACAUGUGCGAACCAUGCCUCAUGGGAAAGAUGACUAAGACCCCGUUCUCUGGAACAAUGGAACAUGCAAGUGACUUGUUGGAGAUCAUACAUAAUGAUGUGUGCGGUCCAAUGAGUGUGGAGGCGCGUGGCGGAUAUCGUUAUUUUCUCACCUUCACUGAUGAUUUGAGUAGGUAUGGAUAUAUCUACUUGAUGAAGCACAAGUCUGAAAUGUUUGAAAAGUUCAAGCAAUUUCAGAGUGAAGUGAAAAUCAUCGUAACAAGAAUAUCAAGUUCCUACGAUCUGAUCGAGGGGGUGAGUAUCUGAGUUUCGAGUUCGAUGCUCACUUAAGACAAUGUGGAAUCGUUUCACUGUUGACACUUCCUAGAACACCACAGUGUAAUGGUGUGUCCGAACGUCAUAAUCGUACUUUGUUAGAUAUGGUGCGAUCUAUGAUGUCUCUUACCGAUUUGCCAUUAUCGUUUUGGGGUUAUGCAUUAGAGACAGCUGCAUUCACUUUAAAUAGGGCACCAUCAAAAUCCGUUGAGAUGACACCAUAUGAGCUAUGGCAUGGCAAGAGGCCAAAGUUGUCGUUUCUUAAAGUUUGGGGAUGCGAUGCUUAUGUCAAAAAGCUUUAGCCUGAAAAGUUGGAACCCAAAGCGGAAACGUGUUUCUUCAUAGGUUACCCAAAAGAGACAGUUGCGUACACCUUCUAUCUCAGAUCCGAGGGCAAAGUGUUUGUUGCUAAGAAUGGAUCUUUUCUUGAGAAGGAGUUUCUCUCGAAAGAAUUGAGUGGGAGGAAGAUAUAACUUGAUGAGGUUGUGGAACCUUUGCUCCCUCUAGAUGGUGGCGUAGGGCAGAGAGAAAUCUCUGUCGAGGCAACACCGGUUGAGGAAGAAGCUAAUGAUGAUGAUCAUGAAGCUUUGGAUCAAGUUACUAUCGGACCUCGCAGGUCGACAAGAUCACGUACUGCUCCUGAGUGGUACAGGAAUCAUGUCUUAUCGAUCAUGUUGUUAGACAACAAUGAACCUGUGAAUUAUGAAGAAGCAAUGGUGGGCCCGGAUUCCAACGAAUGGCUGGAGGCCAUGAAGUCCGAGAUAGGAUCUAUGUAUGAAAACAAAGUAUGGACUUUGGAAGUAUUACCUGAAGGUCAUAAGGCUAUUCAGAACAAAUGGAUCUUUAAGAAGAAGACGAACGCGGACGGUAAUGUGACCGUUUAUAAAGCUCGACUUGUGGCAAAGGGUUUUUCACAAGUUCAAGGAGUUGACUACGAUGAGACGUUCUCACUGGUAGAAAUGCUUAAGUCCGUCCGAAUCAUGUUAGCAAUAGCUGCAUUUUUCGAUUAUGAAAUCUGGCAGAUGGAUGUCAAAACGGCGUUCCUUAAUGGUUUUCUUAAGGAAGAGUUGUAUAUGAUGCAACCCGAAGGUUUUGUCGAUCCAAAGAAUGCUAACAAAGUACGCAAGCUCCAGCGAUCCAUUUAUGGACUGGUGCAAGCAUCUCGGAGUUGGAAUAAGUGCUUUGAUGAGGUGAUGAAGUGUAAGGACUAAGAUGCGGUCCUUUUCGGUUUAGGGGAACGAGGCCCCAAAGAGGAAAGAAGCGCAUCUAAGCGUUUCGCAAACACGGUAACAUAGCACAUACAUAAUAAUAGAAUGACAAUUAGGGAUUCAACUGCCAUAUCAUAAAUAAUAUUAGAGUUUACAUCACGCAUCCAAGCAAGGUAGUUCCGCUAUGGACUACAAAACAUGAGAAAUGACUAUGUUACCCUGCAUGCUUGCCCACGAUCACGACCACGCCUCAGUCUUUUGGACAGUUCACGUACAGGCGGUCGUUCUCCUCAUCGUACUGCCACGCCAGCUACGUGUCGUCGGGAUCACCUGUCUCGGGGGUACCUGAACCUAUUGGUGCGUUGAAGUAAUAUGUGAGCCACGGGGACUCAACAAUCUAUGACCUCGGUGCUAGAACUAGUCAAGUUAAUAGGUAAGGAAGGUGGAGUAUUUAGGUUGCAACAUCCUAAGCAUAUAUGGUGGCUAACUUACGUAGAGCAAGUAUUGAAGAUGGUCUAUACUAGCAAUCGAUGAUUAGCUGAUCACUAAGUGAUCCUGAACACCUACUUAUGUCAAUCAUAACCCCACCGUGUUCCCGAUCGAAGAGAAGUCUUCGAAGGGGACAAUCACGGUUACACAAACAGUUGGCAAUUUUAUUAGCUUAUGUUUAAGUUAUCUAUAAGCGGAUGUUAACAAAUAUUCCAAGUUGCCACAUAACCGCGGGCACGACUUUCCGAAAUAUUAAACCCUGCAGGCGUGCUCCAACUAGUCCAUCACAAAUGGUCACGGGCCGCAAAGUAAUCCUCUAUCACGAAUCUCGUGAUCUCGUCGGAUUCCUUAGAGGAAAACCUCAACUCUGGGGAGAACCAAAGCUUCACCGGGAUUCCUAUACACAAGAUAUAUCGCUAAGGUAAGACAAGAUUAGCAGGACCUCCCGUCGUGUCGACGACCCCGAUAAGAGCCGCGUAUCUCAGUCUCAGGACACGACGGAUGAGCUACGCGCACGAUGGCCUGAUAGAAAUCACUCAAGUUGCCCUGAGUUGGCCCCGAACAGUGCUCAUUUUGGACCAACACUCAUGAGGAGCACUGGCCCGGGUUGUUGAUUAACUCCUCGGGGUGAUCAUUCCCUAUGCAGAUUAUUAUUAAGUGAUUAGCAAAUUAACACCAAUGUUGGGUCCCUCCGGACAAGUCUUAACACUACACGAUUUAUCAAGGGGGUCCCCAUAACAACCCCGAACGUGUUAGGAGCGAACAGUUAUGGAAUCAAACACUCGUAGCCGGAAACUAUGGCGGCAAUAACGGAACAAAACACCCGGAAAAAGGCUAAGCCUUCCGUUAUUUACCAAGUAUAUAGGUGCAUUAAUUAAAUAAUAGAUUAACAUAAUGAUAUCAACUGAUGUUAUCACAUGAGACAAAGCACCUGCAACUAGCAACGCUGACAUUAGUAGCUGAGCAAAGCCUACUUAGCCGUUCAAGAUUUGCUAGGAGGGGAAAGUGUUUGGUUUUCAUGGCAAUAUUCAGGAGGCAAUUAUUUCAGUGGUAGGCAGCGAGCAUAUGACAAGGAAACGUGAAUCUAGCAUAACAAGUCUAGAGAUGGAAUCAAGAUCAUAUCAUCUUGCGUGUGAUGUCCUCAGCUUGGAAUUGCUCUGGUUCGUCCUGCACGUACUCUCCCGGAUCCACGUACUCAUUCUCUGAUCCCGGUGCUACCCAACAUAAAAAUAACAUCCAAUGAAUAACAACACUUCAAGAUGCAACAAGCACAUGAUGCAUGAGAUGAAAAUGAACAUGCACCUCUAUUGUACUCACUUGAACAUGCUUGAGAAGGAGAUACAAGUUCCUGGACAAAACUGCACUCUAAGCUAUCUUGUCAUGUAUGAGGAUGACAUGAACAGAAGCGUCACGCGAAAAUGAUGCAAAAACAUAUAAAGAACGUUACGUUCGGAGCUACGGAUCAACCGGAAACAAUGAAACAAGAAAUAGAGUCCUACGUGUCAAAUUCGUCACCACACACUCCAAUGGCAUACUUCUGCUAUUCCCAGGUUGCCAUAUCACAAAACAAACAAGAAUGGAUGGGGUGGUGCAAAGAAUACCACCACACCAUCAACUAUGCACUCCCAAGCAUCAAACAUCAAAACUAUACAAUCUGCCAUAAGCAACAUCAUAGCAGUUUGAGAGCUACAUGCAAAGCACCUACAGCUGCCCAAAUAUGCCAAAUAGGAUAUGUGGCAGAAGCUAUCCAAGAGUACUAGAAGCAUGAGCAAAAAUCUAAUUCGAAGGAGUUUCAUACGGAAAGUUACACAGCUGCUAACUUGGCCAAAAAUAUUAGUUUCCAGGGACUUAGUGAAAAUCUCAGAUUCUCACUAGCUGUUUAUGCUCUGAAGCAUUUUGACAGCACCCAAAACAAUAUCUACAGGAUUCCAAAUGGAAUGAAAAUUGACAGAUAGCUAUACAAAUACAAAAUCUACAACUUCCCAGUUGAUAGCUAGGGCUGAUUCCCAACACAUGGUCUUCUACAAGCACAACAACAGGAGAAGAAAAUAUAAGCAGAUUCCCAGACUUAGUGAAAAUCUGUGAUUUUCACUAAACUGGAAUUUUUAGUCACAUGCCUACUUUGACUAGGCACAACUUGCACACAUGAACUCCUAAGCAUGAAACAAAACCAACAUGUGGUAGAAGGGUUCACCCUCUACCGCCACAACAAAGAAUCAACCUCUUGGGCUCAUCACAUCACAUGGAACCAAGCUCUAAACAUGGAACAAAACUGAAAUAUGACAUUCCCAGAAAGUGUUCCAAAGGCAAAACUUACUUCACCAAUGGAUUCAUGGGAUGAUUCUACCCCAAAAACAUAUAUAAUACAUAUGCACUUGCAUAGAAUAAUUGGGCACAAGGCUAAGAAGAAGAUAAGCAUGGAUUCACAAGGUGUGAAUAGUGCAUCAUCACAUGUGCUAUUCAGUAAAACAACACCUACAUAUCCACUUGCACACUAUCAACACUACAAUGGUGCACAUGAGGGUUAUCCCUCAUGCUCAUGUGCCUUAGCAAACCACCACACACACACACAAGCAUCAAGCACAACAUAAUAUAAACACCUACACAUGCUAAUGGGAACACCCACACUAGAUUACACCACAACAUCUAUACACCUUCACAUAUAAACAUGCUCAUGUGCUCAUCAAGGCACUCCAUGCCUUGAGCAUGUGUGGGACACACACACACCAUCUCACACAACAACACAAGAGCACCUACAUAUACACAAGGUAGGUGAGGGCGGAAACCCACACACACACUCACAUCACAUACUUGCACAAGAUAGGACAUAAGNNNNNNNNNNNNNNNNNNNNNNNNNNUGCAUAUCUAUAGCCUAGUGCAACACACAACUAAACACACCCACACAUACAUGUCAUCUAGCUCACAAUGCACAUACAUACAUAUCACUACACAUGCAUAUUUACAUAGCUAGAGAAAUACUAGGAACCUGCUAGAAUAAAUCCAGCAACCAAAACUUGCCUCACAAGCAUGCUGCAGUACAAUAUAGCAAGCAAACAAAACAAACAGGGAAGAAAUGCACAAAAAAAGGACAGGGGAGGGAUCGAACCCUAGAGCCCCUGAUCACCACCUGCACCUCAUACCACUGCGCUAUGGAACAGUCACUUGACAGAUAAGGAAAGCCUAGCAGGAUAAGGUGAUACACGCUGCUCUGUUACUGUGCCGAGAGAAAAAUAGCACAAAAAGGGGGGUUUGGCGCCGCGGGGAUUCGAUCCCACAACCACCUGAUCCACAACAAACACUGCACCACUAUGCCGCGCUACUAUACUUGACAGAGAGGAGGAACUCUCCAAGGUAAGACAUCGAAGCCGGCCUGCUCUGCUACUCACAGAGACGCCGACGGCAGCAAGCCACCGGAGCAAACCUACUUGCUCUACUGCUGCUCUACGCGCGGGGAUCCAUCUACACUACAACUACUACGCUGUUGGAGGCCCCGAGCCACGACGAGCCAAGCACAACAACACAAGAACGACACACCACCUGCACCUGCCCUCGUGCUCUUCUCUGAACAGAGAGGCACGACCUCGAUCUCCUACGCGCAACUACCGAGGAAGAAAAGAGGAAGAUACUAGCUCUCACCUAGGGGAAGGAGGAGAGGUUGCCGAUCGGGGAAGAGGCCUGCCUGGAGAAGAACGAAGACGACCUGAAGCGCCUGACGAAGAACUCUGCAGAACCAAAGCAGGGAGGAACAGGCCGCCGGGAACACGCCGUUGACGUGGUCCUGCCCGUCGCUGUGGUCGCGCUUUGACCUCAACAACAACGGGAAUGGAACGCGGGGCCUACCCCCGAGCCCCCUGACAUGAUGGCCGACACCGAAGGCGGCGGAUGCACGGGAUCGACGACGGCGCACUACUGCCCUCUAUGUGUACCUGGAUCUACAGGAGCUUACCUUGGGGAAGGAGGAGAAGGAUGGAGACGGCAGCGCUAGAUGGGGGAAGCAUGGAACCCUAGGGCAAGGGGGCACGAACGCCGAGGGUUAUAAGAGGGCCUCGACGUCUGUGAGCCCUCACGGCAUGCUCGCUCCCUCUCUGCUGCGUGACGGAAAGCGACGCACGGGGAGACGCCGUCUGAAGAAGGAGAAGGAACGCGUGCCUGGGCUGCCGCGGGGGGGGGGGAGAGAAGCUAGGCCUGCUAGUGGGAGGAGGCCCACUAGUUGGCGCCAGGUAGAAGGAAAUAAACCCAUGGGGUUUAUUAAUUAAGCCAAGACCAGACAAACAAAACAAAUGCACAUGCUAAACAGAUAAAGCUAAAAUUAAAUCAAAAAUACCCCUGGUCAUAAGAAAUUAUGACCUAUUUAAAUAAAAUAGAAAAGAAAUAUUUGGAGCAAUUAAAUAUUUACAAAACAACAUUUAUAUGAUAUGUUUUGGGAAUAUUUGCACCUUUAAAAUAUAGAUUCAAAACAACCAAUUCACAUCUUCACAUCCACCACAAAGUAUACUAAAUCAUGGACAUUUUUUAAAACAAGGAUGGGACAAGUGAAGCUUGACCUUGAGAUAAAUAAAGAGGAAGAUGGUUUUGAAGCCUAUGCAAACCACAUAGUUUCCUACUAGCAAUUGCACCACUCCAUUACUCACAUACACUAUCAUCACAUGACAUAUUCAACACACCACAUACCCACAUGGAUUCACAAAGGCACAAACACAAGACAUGGGUGAAUGAUAGAUGCAUGCAAGCAAAGGAAGAACAAAACAAUGUGACAUCACAUGAAAUCAUAUGCAUUGAGCUCUCAUAUCAAUGACAAGGUGGACCCACAUAGAGAAGGUUCCAGAUAUGGCAAGAUACACUCUUGGGGCAUUACAUGAAGGCAUUUGGGUUUAUACAAGUUAUUGGAGAAUCUUGUAUUUACAAGAGAGUGAGUGGGAGCUUUGUAGAGUUUCUUAUAUUAUAUGUGGAUGACAUAUUGCUGAUUGGAAAUAAUGUGGAGUUUUUAGAGAGCGUAAAGGAUUACUUGAACAAAUGUUUUUCAAUGAAAGACCUAGGAGAAGCUGCUUACAUAUUAGGCAUUAAUAUCUAUAGGGAUAGAUCGAGGUGCCUAAUAGGACUUUGACAAAGCACAUACCUUGAUAAAGUUUUGAAGAAGUUCAAAACGGAGCAGUCCAAGAAGGGGUUCUUGCCAGUGUUACAAGGUAUAAAGUUGAGUAAGACUCAGUGUCCGGUAACCGCGGAAGAUAGAGAAAAGAUGAGUAGCGUCCCCUAUGCUUCAACCAUCGGGUCUAUCUUGUAUGCAAUGUUAUGCACAAGACCGGACGUCAGCCUGGACAUAAGUAUGGCACGCAGGUUUCAAAGUAAUCCAGGAGUGGAUCACUGGACGACGGUCAAGAAUAUUCUGAAAUACCUGAAAAGGACUAAGGAAAUUUUUCUCGUUUAUGGAGGUGACGAAGAACUCGUCGUAAAGGGUUACGUCGAUGCAAGCUUUCACAUUGAUCCGGAUGACUCUAAGUCUCAAUCCGGAUACAUAUUUGUUCUUAAUGAGGGUGCGGUAAGCUGGUGCAGUUCCUAGCAAAGCGUCGUAGCAGAUUCUACAUGUCAAGUGGAGUACAUGGCUUCCUCGAAGGCAGCUAAGGAGGGUGUCUCGAUGAAGCAAUUCAUGACGGAUUUUGGAGUUGUGUCGAGUGCACUAAAUCCAAUAACUCUGUUCUGUGACAACACUGGUGCCAUUGCUCUAGCCAAGGAACCAAGGUUUCACAAGAAGACCACACACAUCAAAGGACGCUUGAUACGUCUCCAACGUAUCUAUAAUUUUUGAUGGUUCCAUGCUAUUAUAUUGUCUUCUUUGGAUGUUUUGCAUGCCUUUUAUAUAUUUUUUGGGACUAACUUAUUAACUCAGUGCCAAGUGGUAGUUCCUGUUUUUUCCAUGUUUUUGACCCUUUUUCAGACGGAGUCCAAAUGGAAUGAAACUUUACGAUGAUUUUUUUGGACCAAAAGAUACCCCCAAAGCUUUGGAAGAAGGCCAGAAGAGCCACGAGGGAGUCACAAGCCCAUGUUAUGCGGCCUACCCCCCUGGUCGCACCGUGCAGGCUUCUGACCUCCUUGUGGGCCCAACUGACUCAAUUCCACCGCCAUAAAUUCCUAUAAAUUCAGAAACCCCCAGAAAGAAACCUAGAUCGGGAGUUCCGCCGCCGCAAGCCUCUGUAGCCACCAAAAACCAAUCUGGAGCCCGUUCCGGCACCCUGCCGAAGGGGGAAUCCAUCUCCAGUGGCCAUCUUCAUCAUCCCGGCGAUCUCCAUGACGAGGAGGGAGUAGUUCUCCCUCGGGGCUGAGGGUAUGUACCAGUAGCUAUGUGUUUGAUCUCUCUCUCUCUCGUGUUCUUGAGAUGUCUUGAUCUCGAUGUACCGUGGGCUUUGCUACUAUAGUUGGAUCUUACGAUGUUCUUCCCCCUCUCCCUUCUUGUAAUGAAUCGAGUUUCCCCUUUGGAGUUAUCUUAUCGGUUUGAGUCUUUGAGAGCACUUGAUGUAUGUCUUGAACCUGUCUAUCUACUUUGAUCAACCUGCGGGUUUGUGACAAUUGGGAACCUAUGCAUAUGGUUGGCACACGUGGAUUCAUGUGAGUACUCGAUGUAUGUUUUGGUGAUCAACUUGUGGGUUCGUGACAUUGGGAACCUAUGCAUAGGGGUUGGCACACGUUUUGACUCUCCGGUAGAAACUUUGGGGCACUCUUUGAAGUUCUAUGUGUUGCUUGAAUAGAUGAUUCUGAGAUUGUGUGAUGCAUAUCGUAUAAUCAUGCACACGGAUACUUGAGGUGACAAUGGAGUAUUGAUACGUCCAUUUUGCAUCAUGCUUUCAUGUUGAUAUUUAUUGCUUUUUGGGCUGUUAUAUUACUUGUGGUACCAUAUUUAUGCCUUUUCUCUCUUAUUUUGCAAGGUUUAUUUGAAGAGGGAGAAUUCAGGCAGCUGGAAUUCUGGACUGGAAAAGGAGCAAAUCCUAGUCCACUAUUCUGCACAUCUCCAAAUGCCCUAAAAAGUUACGUGGAUUUUUUUGGGAUUAUAUAAAAAAUAUGGGGCGAAAGAACUACGGGAGGGGGGCUACCAGGGCGCCACAAGCCCUGACACCGCCACCCCCUGGUGGCGGAGUGGGGGCUUGCGGGUUCCCUGACGGCCCACUAGCCCCCCUCUUUUGCUAUAUGAAGCGUCCUGGUCCAGAAAAAAAUCAAUUAGGAGCUUUUUCGUGGUUUCGCCGCCGCCAUGAGGCGGAACUUGAGAAGAUCCAAUCUAGAGCUCCGGCAGGACGAUCCUGCCUGGGAAACUUCCCUCCCGGAGGGGGAAAUCGUCGCCAUUGUCAUCACCAACACUCCUCUAAUCGGAGGGGAUGCAUCUUCAUCAACAUCUUCAUCAGCACCAUCUCCUCUCCAAUCCCUAGUUCAUCUCUUGUAACCAAUCUUCGUCUCGCUACUCCGAUUGGUACUUGUAAGGUUUCUAGUAGUGUUGAUUACUCUUUGUAGUUGAUGCUAGUUGGAUUACUUGGUGGAAGAGUUUAUGUUCAGAUCCUUGAUGCUAUUCAUUACACCUCUGAUCAUGAUUAUGAUUAUGUUUUGUGAGUAGUUACUUUUGUUCCUGAGGACAUGGGAUAAGUCAUGUUAAUAAUAGUCAUGUGAAUUUGAUAUUCGUUCGGUAUUUUGAUAUGUUGUAUGUUGUCUUUUCCUCUAGUGGUGUUAUGUGAACGUCGAUUACAUAACACUUCACACCAUAUUUGGGCCUAGAGGAAAGCAUUAGGAAGUAGUAAGUAGAUGAUGGGUUGCUGGAGUGACAGAAGCUUAAACCCCAGUCUAUGCGUUGCUUCGUGAGGGGCUGAUUUGGAUCCACUAGUUUAAUGCUAUGGUUAGACUUUGUAUUAAUUAUUUUUUUGGAGUUGCAGAUGCUUGCGAGAGAGGUUAAUCAUAAGUGGGAUGCUUGUCCAAGUAAGGGCAGUACCCAAGCGCCGGUCCACCCACAUAUCAAACUAUCAAAGUAACGAACGCGAAUCAUAUGAACAUGAUGAAACUAGCAUGACAGAAAUUCCCGUGUGUCCUCGGGAGUCUUUUUCCUCCUAUAAGACUUUGUUCAGGCUUGUCCCUUGCUACAAAAGGGAUUGGGCCACUUGCUGCACCUUUGCUACUACUUGUUACUUGUUACUUUUUGCUCGCUACAUUUGACCUCACUACACCAUCACUUGUUACCGCUACUUUCAGUGCUUGCAAUUAUUACCUUGCUGAAAUCCGCUUAUCAGAGCCUUCUGCUCCUCGUUGGGUUCGACACUCUUACUUAUCGAAAGGACUACGAUUGAUCCCCUAUACUUGUGGGUCAUCGAGACUCUUUUCUGGCGCCGUUGCCGGGGAGUGAAGUGCCUUUGGUAAGUGGAAAUUGGUAAGGAAACAUUUUUAUAUUGUGCUGAAAUUUAUUGUCACUUGUCACUAUGGAAACUGUUCCUUUGAGGAGUUUGUUCGUGGUAUAUUCACCACGAACGGAAGCACGAGGAGUUUCUCCUCAACCUGAGGUACCUACUGAAAAUAUCUUUUAUGAAAUUCCUUCGGGUAUGCUUGAGAAACUGCUGGCUAAUCCUUUCACAGGAGAUGGAUCUUCACAUCCAGACUUGCAUCUGAUCUUUGUAGAUGAAGUUUGUGGUUUAUUUAAGCUUGCAGGUUUGCCCGAGGAUGUGGUAAAGAAGAAAGUCUUUCCUUUAUCUUUGAAGGAUAAGGCAUUGACAUGGUAUAUGCUAUGUGAUGAUACUGGAUCAUGGGGCUACAAUCGGUUGAAAUUGGAAUUUCAUCAAAAGUUCUAUCCUAUGCAUUUAGUACAUCGUGAUCGGAACUUUAUUUAUAACUUUUGGCCUCGUGACAGGGAAAGCAUAGCUCAAGCUUGGGGGAGGCUUAAAUCAAUGCUAUAUUCAUGCCCCAAUCAUGAGCUCUCGAGAGAAAUCAUCACUCAAAACUUUUAUGCUCGAUUUUCUCAUGAAGAUGUACCAUGCUUGACACUUCUUGUGCCGGUUCUUUUAUGAAGAAGGAUAUUGAUCACAAGUGGAAUUUAUUGGAGAGAAUCAAACGCAAUUCUGAAGAUUGGGAGCUGGAGGAAGGUAAGGAGUCAAGUAUGAAUUUCCAGUUUGAUUGCGUUAAAUCUUUUGUUGAGACAAACACUUCUAGAGAUUUUAGCACAAAGUAUGGACUUGAGUCUGAGAUAGUAGCUUCUCUAUGUGAAUAUUUUGCUGCUCAUGUUGAUCUUCCCAAAGAGAAGUGGUUUAAAUAUCAUCCUCCUGUAGAAAGCAACAUAGCUAAAACCAAUCUAGUUGAGGAGAAAGUCAUUGCUUUUAGUGAUCAUGUUGUUCCUUGUGCUUACACUGAGAAACCACCAUACCCUCCUAGGAUAAAGGAUUAUUCUAAAGCUCCGAUGAUACGUAGGGGUUACAUUAGACCACUUGCACCCCCUGAGGAGAUUAGAGUUGAACCUAGUGUUGCUAUUAUCAAAGAUCUCUUAGCCGAAGACAUAAAUGGGCAUGUUAUCAAAUUCUGCGAGGACUCUGCUAGAAUUGCUAAACCUCACGCGAAAGACAAACACGGACCUGUAGUUGGCCUGCCCGUUGUUUCUGUUAAGAUAGGAGAUCACUGUUACCAUGGUUUAUGUGAUAUGGGAGCUAGUGUUAGUGCAAUACCCCGUUCUAUAUAUGAUGAAAUCAAAGAUGAGAUUGCACCUGCUGAGUUAGAACCCAUUGAUGUUACUAUUACGCUAGCUAAUAGAGACACUAUCUGCCCUCUGGGAAUUGUGAGAGACGUAGAAGUCCUAUGUGGUAAGACGAAGUAUCCUACUGAUUUCCUCGUCCUUGGUACUGCACAAGAUAGCUUUUGUCCCAUCAUAUUUGGUAGACCCUUUCUCAACACUAUCAACGCUCACAUUGAUUGCAUUAAGCAGACUGUCACAGUUAGUUUCGAGGGUGUGUCUCAUGAAUUUAACUUCUCCAAGUUUGGAAGACAACCCCAUGAAAGAGAGUCGUCCGGUAGGGAUGAAAUCAUUGCUCUUGCCUCUAUUGCCGUACCUCCUACAGAUCCUUUAGAGCAAUAUCUGCUUGAGCAUGAAAAUGAUAUGCAUAUGGAGGAGAGAGAUGAGAUAGAUAAAAUUGUCUUAGAACAAUAUCCUAUUCUCAAGAAUAAUCUGCCUGUUGAACUGCUUGGGGAUCCUCCCCCACCAAAGGGUGAUCCUGUGUUCGAGCUUAAAUAGUUGCCUGAUACUCUUAAGUAUGCCUAUCUUGAUGAGAAGGAGAUAUAUCCUGUCAUUAUUAGUGCUCUCCUCUCAGAGCAUGAAGAGAAGAAGUUACUAAGAACUCUGAGGAAGCACCGCGCUGCUAUUGGAUAUACUCUUGAUGAUCUUAAGGGUAUUAGUCCUACUCUAUGUCAGCACAAGAUUAAAACCGAUCCUGACUUUAAACCAGUUGCUGAUCAUCAAAGGAGAUUAAAUCCUAAGAUGAAAGAGGUCGUUAGAAAAGAAAUAUUAAAGCUUCUGGAAGCAGGAAUCAUUUAUCCUGUUGCUCAUAGUGAUUGGGUAAGUCCAGUACAUUGCGUACCUAAGAAGGGAGGUAUCACCGUCGUUCCUAAUGAUAAGGAUGAACUAAUCCCACAAAGGAUUAUUACCAGCUAUAGAAUGGUGAUAGACUUCCGGAAACUGAACAAGGCAACCAGGGAAGAUCAUUAUCCUUUGUCGUUCAUCAACCAAAUGCUAGAAAGGCUAUCAAAGCACACACACUUCUGCUUUCUAGACGGUUAUUCAGGUUUCUCGCAAAUACCAGUUGCACAAUCUGAUCAAGAGAAAACCACUUUCACCUGCCCUUUCAGUACCUUUGCCUAUAGACGUAUGCCUUUUGGCUUAUGUAAUGCACCCGCCACCUUCCAAAGAUGUAUGAUGGCUAUAUUCUCUGACUUUUGUGAAAAGAUCGUCGAGGUUUUCAUGGAUGACUUCUCUGUUUAUGGGUCCUCCUUUGAUGAUUGCCUCAGCAACCUUGAUCGAGUCUUACAGAGAUGCGAAGAAACCAACCUCGUCUUGAAUUGGGAGAAGUGCCACUUUAUGGUUAAUGAAGGUAUCGUCUUAGGACACAAAAUUUCUGAGAGAGGCAUUGAAGUUGAUAAGGCUAAGGUUGAUGCAAUUGAGAAAAUGCCUUGCCCCACAGAUAUAAGAGGUAUACGAAGUUUCCUAGGUCAUGCUUGUUUCUAUAGAAGGUUCAUUAAAGACUUCUCUAAGAUUUCUAGGCCUCUUACCAACCUCUUGCAGAAGGAUGUUCCUUUUGUUUUUUAUGAGGAUUGUGAGGAAGCUUUCGAAAUACUUAAGAAGGCUUUGAUAACCGCACCUAUUGUUCAACCACCUGACUGGAACUUGACCUUGGAAAUCAUGUGUGACGCUAGUGAUUAUGCUGUUGGUACUGUUCUAGGACAAAGAGUUGAUAAGAAGUUGAAUGUCAUUCACUACCCUAGUAAAACUCUAGACAGUGCCCAAAGAAACUAUGCCACUACGGAGAAGGAAUUUUUAGCAGUCGUGUUUGCAUGCGAAAAGUUGAGAUCUUAUAUAGUUGACUCCAAAGUUACUAUUCACUCUGAUCAUGCUGCUAUUAAGUACCUUAUGGAGAAGAAGGACGCUAAGCCUAGGCUUAUCAGAUGGGUUCUCCUGCUACAGGAAUUUGAUUUGCACGUCGUUGACCGAAAGGGUGCUGAUAACCCUGUAGCAGAUAACUUGUCUAGGCUAGAGAAUGUCCUUGAUGACCCACUACCUAUUGAUGACAACUUUCUUGAUGAGCAAUUAAAUGUCAUCCGCACUUCACUUAGUGCAUCGUGGUAUGCCGAUUAUGCAAACUAUAUCGUAGCCAAAUACAUACCACCCAGUUUCACCUAUCAGCAAAAGCAGAAAUUCUUCUUUGAUUUGAGACACUACUUUUGGGAUGAUCAUCACCUUUAUAAGGAAGGAGUAGAUGGUGUUAUUAGACGUUGUGUGCCUGAACAUGAACAGGGACAAAUCCUGCAGAUGUGUCAUUUCGAAGCCUACGAAGGACACCAUGCUGGAGAUAGAACUGCCCAUAAGGUAUUGCAAACAGGUUUCUAUUGGCCCACUCUCUUCAAGGAUGCUCGUAGGUUUGUCUUGUCUUGUGACGAAUGCCAAAGAAUAGGGAACAUCAGUAAGCGUCGGGAAAUGCCUAUGAACUACUCACUUGUCAUUGAACCAUUUGAUGUCUGGGGCUUUGAUUAUAUGGGACCCUUCCCGAGUUCCAAUGGGUACACUCACAUCUUAGUUGCUGUGUAUUACGUUACUAAGUGGGUAGAAGCUAUCCCCACUAAAAAUGCUGAUCACCACACCUCUAUUAAGAUGCUUAAAGAAGUCAUUUUCCCAAGAUUUGGAGUCCCUAGGUACUUGAUGACUGAUGGCGGUUCACACUUCAUUCAUGGUGUUUUCCACAAGAUGAUAGCUAAGUAUGAUGUCAACCAUAGAGUUGCAUCUCCUUAUAAUCCUUAGUCUAGUGGUCAAGUUGAGUUGAGUAAUAGGGAGAUCAAGUUGAUCUUACAAAAGAUCGUCAACAGAUCUCGAAAGAACUGGUCUAGCAAACUCGACGAUGCACUAUGGGCUUAUAGGACUGCUUAUAAGAAUCCCAUGGGCAUGUCACCGUAUAAAAUGGUUUACGGUAAGGCCUGUCAUUUACCUCUUGAGCUGGAACACAAAGCUUAUUGGGCAAUCAAAGAGCUCAAGUUUGAUUUCAAACUUGCCGGUGAGAAGCGGUUGUUUGAUAUCAUCUCGUUAGAUGAAUGGAGAACCCAGGCAUAUGAGAAUGCCAAGUUGUUCAAGGAAAAGGUUAAGAGAUGGCACGACAAACGAAUACAGAAACGAGAGUUCAAUGUAGGUGAUUAUGUCUUGCUAUACAAUUCUCGUUUGAGAUUCUUUGCAGGCAAGCUUCUCUCUAAAUGGGAAGGUCCCUAUGUUAUCGAGGAAGUAUAUCGUUCCGGUGCCAUCAAAAUCGAUAACACGGAAGGAAAUUUUCCUAGAGUGGUAAAUGGGCAAAGAAUCAAGCAUUACAUCUCUGGUACUCCCAUAAAUGUUGAGACCAAUAUCAUCAAUGUCAUAACUCCAUAGGAGUACAUAAGGGAUGUUUAUCAGCAUGUUUCAGACCUUGAAAACGAAGAUGUAUCUGUUUUGGUAAGAAAUUGGACUCCGAUACUUUUCCAAUAGGAAAUUUCUUCCGUUUUGGAAUUUUUGGAAAAUUAGAAAAAUAAAAAGCAGUCUGUAGAGCGAACGAGGCGGGCACAAGCCCUGCCACCGCCCCUACCCCCUGGUGGCGGAGGGCAAGCUUGUGGGCACCUCAUGUGCCUCCCGGACUCCGUUUUCUUGCGGAGGACUCCUUCUGGCCCAGAAAAAAAUCAAUAUAUAGUCGCCCGAAGGUUUUGAUCUCCGUAUCGCGUAGUUUUCCUCUGUUUUCGUUUAAAGCUUGUUGUCUGCCGCAUAUUUAGAGCAAAGAUGUCUCAGGAAUCUGUUGGGGAGAAUGAUCUUCACCAAGUUCAUGAGGAAGUAGAUGCUGAUAUGAAAAGAGUAGAAGUCACGGAAUCUAGGGACCAAGCUACGGAGAAAACCCAAGCUAGGGAGGAAGUUCAACCUAUGUUCAACAUUGAAGACAUGGAAGGAGUAUAUUUUCUCCAACCCUUCCUCCACGUGCUGUCUCCAUCCUUGAUUGAACUCUUGAGGUUUUGCGAAACAACUCGUGCUCGCAAUAUUUCUCUUUCUCGUGAAGUUGUUUUGCUGGAAAACCAUGUCACAUAUCUCAAAGGUAUAAAUCAAAGAUUGAUAGCUCUCUUGGAAUCAAAGGCGAUAACUCCACCACCAUCACCACUAAAGGAAGACAACUAAGCAUUGGUAUGGGCAAUCCCCUUGGCUUCUGCCAAGCUUGGGGGAGUUGCCCUGGUAUCGUAUCACCUUUAUAUCUUUUGCUUUUACCUUUGUUUUAGUUCUUUCCUUUUCAGUUUUUAUUUCUUCUCUUAGAGGAAUAAGUCUUGUGUUUUUAGUUUGAGUCUUUUGCUUUUGUCUCUCUUCCGAUGUAUUUGAGCUCGCGAGCUAUAUAAUAAAGAGUAUCUUAGUCAAGGGCUUUGCUUUGUGCCUUGAUCAAAAGUAUGAAAAGAACGAUAGCAUGAAAGAUCAUGAGACGAUCUUAUGGAAAGUGAUAACUUCACUUGUGACACGUAUGAUGAUUGAAACUUGUUGAGAAUAAAUCAACAUAUACCUUAGUCAUUGUUGUAAUUAAUAAGAAGUAAUAACGAAAGAGAGGUUCACAUAUAAUAUAUCAUCUUAGACACUUUUUUACAAUUGUGAGCACUCACCAAACUAUUACAUGCUUAGGAGCAGAUGUUGGACAAGGAAGACAACAUAAUGAAUUGUGUUUGCUUGGUUCCAAACAAUGUUAUAUGAUUAGAGAUCCCUUAGCAUGUGACGAUUGCUUCCACCUUAUAUUAGCCAAAACUCCCGCACCAAGUAGAGAUACUACUUGUGCAUCCAUAAACCUCCAACCAGUUUUGCCAUGAGAGUCCACCAUGCCUACCUAUGGAUUGAAUAAGAUCCUUCAAGUAAGUUGUCAUCGGUGCAAGCAAUAAAAAUUGCUCUCUAAUAUGUAUGAUCUAUUAGUGUGUGGAAAAUAAGCUUUGUACGGACCUGUGAUGAGGAAGACAUAAAAGCAAUAGACUGCAUAAUAAAGUUCUUUAUCACAGGAGGCAAUAUAAAGUGACGUUCCUCCGCACUAAGAGGACACGCAUUCAAACCUCAAAAGCGCAUGACAACCUCUGCUUCCCUCUGCGAAGGGCCUAUCUUGUACCUUUACUUUUUGCCCUUGUAAGAGUCAUGGUGAUCAUCACCAAUUCCCUAUUUUUGCCUUUGUCUUGGCUACCGUCACAUGUUUGGGAAAGAUCUAUACUCAUAUAUCAACUUGGAGUUGAGUACUUAUGCUUUAUUGUUGUUGACUUUACCCUUGAGGUAAACCGUUGGGAGGCAAAACUAUAAGCCCCUAUCUUCCUCUGUGUCCAGCUGAAACUUUGACACCAUGAGUACCACGUGAGUUGUAACAAUUGUGGAAAACAAAAGAGAUGAUUGAGUAUGUGGGUUUGCCUUACAAGCUCUUAUUUGAUUCUUUCUGAUGUUGCGAUAAAUUGCAAUUGCUUCAAUGACUAUGGACUAUUGUUGGUGACUUCUCGGUAAGGUUUUUGCUUCAUGCUUUGCUUUGUGAAGGAAUUGUUACUUUCACAUAAGAAUCUUUAUGAUGUAUCGCUGUGUGAUCAUGAUGCCCUCAUGUCCGUAUUAUGUUUUAUCGACACCUUCGACCCUCAACAUGUCGACAUGUUUAGGGAACUUGGUUUUCGCUUGAGGACAAGUGAUGUCUAAGCUUGGGGGAGUUGAUACGUCCAUUUUGCAUCAUGCUUUCAUGUUGAUAUUUAUUGCUUUUUGGGCUGUUAUAUUACUUGUGGUACCAUAUUUAUGCCUUUUCUCUCUUAUUUUGCAAGGUUUAUUUGAAGAGGGAGAAUUCAGGCAGCUGGAAUUCUGGACUGGAAAAGGAGCAAAUCCUAGUCCACUAUUCUGCACAUCUCCAAAUGCCCUGAAAAGUUACGUGGAUUUUUUUGGGAUUAUAUAAAAAAUACUGGGCGAAAGAACUACGGGAGGGGGGCUGCCAGGGCGCCACAAGCCCUGACACCGCCACCCCCUGGUGGCGGAGUGGGGGCUUGUGGGCUCCCUGACGGCCCACUAGCCCCCCUCUUUUGCUAUAUGAAGCGUCCUGGUCCAUAAAAAAUCAAUCGGGAGCUUUUUCGUGGUUUCGCCGCCGCCACGAGGCGGAACUUGAGCAGAUCCAAUCUAGAGCUCCGGCAGGACGAUCCUGCUGGGGAAACUUCCCUCCCGGAGGGGGAAAUCAUCACCAUCGUCAUCACCAACACUCCUCUCGUCGGAGGGGAGGCAUCUUCAUCAACAUCUUCAUCAGCACCAUCUCCUCUCCAAUCCCUAGUUCAUCUCUUGUAACCAAUCUUCGUCUCGCUACUCCGAUUGGUACUUGUAAGGUUGCUAGUAGUGUUGAUUACUCUUUGUAGUUGAUGCUAGUUGGAUUACUUGGUGGAAGAGUUUACGUUCGGAUCCUUGAUGCUAUUCAUUACACCUUUGAUGAUGAUUAUGAUUAUGUUUUGUGAGUAGUUACUUUUGUUCCUGAGGACAUGGGAUAAGUCAUGUUAAUAAUAGUCAUGUGAAUUUGAUAUUCGUUCGGUAUUUUGAUAUGCUGUAUGUUGUCUUUUCCUCUAGUGGUGUUAUGUGAACGUCGACUACAUAACACUUCACCAUAUUUGGGCCUAGAGGAAAGCAUUAGGAAGUAGUAAGUAGAUGAUGGGUUGCUGGAGUGACAGAAGCCUAAACCCCAGUCUAUGCGUUGCUUCGUGAGGGGCUGAUUUGGAUCCACUAGUUUAAUGCUAUGGUUAGACUUUGUCUUAAUUCUUCUUUUGUAGUUGCAGAUGCUUGCGAGAGAGGUUAAUCAUAAGUGGGAUGCUUGUACAAGUAAGGGCAGUACCCAAGCGCCGGUCCACCCACAUAUCAAACUAUCAAAGUAACGAACGCGAAUCAUAUGAACAUGAUGAAACUAGCAUGACAGAAAUUCCCGUGUGUCCUCGGGAGCGUUUUUCCUCCUAUAAGACUUUGUUCAGGCUUGUCCCUUGCUACAAAAGGGAUUGGGCCACUUGCUGCACCGUUGCUACUACUUCUUACUUGAUACUUUUUGCUCGCUACGUUUCACCUCACUACACCAUCAGUUGUUACCUCUACUUUCAGUGCUUGCAGUUAUUACCUUGACGAAAUCCGCUUAUCAGAGCCUUUUACUCCUCGUUGGGUUCGACACUCUUACUUAUCGAAAGGACUAUGAUUGAUCCCCUAUAUUUGUGGGUCAUCAAGUAUCUAGGUGACAUUAGGGUCUUGGUUGAUAUGUAUCUUAAGGUGUUAUUCUAGUACGAACUCUUGAAUAGAUCGAUCAGAAAGAAUAACUUUGUGGUGGUUUCGUACCCGACAAUAAUCUCUUCGUUUGUUCUCUGCUAUUAGUGACUUUGGAGUGACUCUUUGUUGCAUGUUGAGGGCUAGUUAUAUGAUCCAAUUAUGUUAUCAUUGUUGAGAGAACUUCACUAGUGAAAGUAUGAACCCUAGGCCUUGUUUCCACGCAUUGCAAUACCAUUCGUGCUCACUUUUUUUACUAGUUACCUUGCUGUUUUUGUAAUUUCAGAUUACAAAAACCUAUAUCUACCAUCCAUAUUGCACUUGUUUCACCAUCUCUUCGCCGAACUAGUGCACCUAUAAAACUUACCAUUGUAUUGGGUGUGUUGGGGACACAAGAGAGUCUUUGUUGUUUGGUUGCAGGGUUGCUUGAGAGAGACCAUAUUCAUCCUACGGCUCCCGCGGAUUGAUAAACCUUAGGUCACCCACUUGAGGGAAAAUUGCUACUGUUCUACAAACCUCUACACUUGGAGGCCCAACAACGUCUACAAGGAGAAGGUUGCGUAGUAGACAUCAAGCAUUUUUCUGGCGCCGUUGUCGGGGAGGCUAGGUAAGAGGCACUAACAUCCCGUCAACGAAGCAUUUUCGGGGAGGUUAGCGCUUGAAGGUAUAUCUUUAGAUCUUGCAAUCGAAUCUUUUUGUUUCUUGUUCUUUAGCUAGAAAACUACCAAAAAAUGGAAUUGAGGAUGCCUCAUAUGCUCCAUCUUUUUAAUGUCUUUCGUGAGCAUGAUGGGAAGGAAAAUUGUGCUCAAGUGCUGAAAUAAGAAUUACAUAGAAUGCUUGGCAUAGAAUAUGUGAAUGAUGAGCAUGAUUGCAAUGUUGUUAGCACAAAUUCUUUGAAUACCCAUGAUGCUAAUGAUAUGCAAAGCCACAAGCUUGGGGAUGCUAUAUUUGAGGAAGAUGAUCUUUUUAGUUCUUCCACUUUGAAUGAUCAAAAUCAUUUUGAUGAAAGCAUGCCCCCUAUCUAUGAUGAUUAUUGUGAGGAUACUUAUGCUUUGAAGAAGAGGGAUGAUAAAUAUUGUCAUACUUUCGAAAACCCCUUUGCUAAACCUUGCUUUUUCGUUGUGGACACAAUUUGUAGUGCUCAAGUCUUUUACGAUACUCCCACUACUAUUCUUGAGAAUAGAUUUCNNNNNNNNNNNNNNNNNNNNNNNNNNNNNNNNNNNNNNNNNNNNNNNNNNNNNNNNNNNNNNNNNNNNNNNNNNNNNNNNNNNNNNNNNNNNNNNNNNNNGCUAUCUUGCUUAAGGGUUAGGGAUGUGACAACUUUGGAGUUGGAGGGCUUCUUCAUCAUCAUCAUCGUCCCUCCAAUGACUCGUGAGUAGUUCACUUCAGACCUACGGGUCCGUAGUUAGUAGCUAGAUGUCUUCUUCUCUCUCUUGGAUCUUCAAUAGAAAGUUCUCCAUGAUCUUCAUGGAGAUCUAUCCGAUGUAAUCUUCUUUGGCUGUGUGUUUGUCGAGAUCCGAUGAAUUGUGGAUUUGUGAUCAGAUUAUCUAUGAUAUAUAUUUGAGUCUUUGCUGAUUUCUUAUAUGCAUGAUUUGAUAUCCUUGUAAGUCUCUCUGAGUCUUGGGUUUUGUUUGGCCAACUAGAUCUAUGAUUCUUGCAAUGGGAGAAGUGCUUGGUUUUGGGUUCUACCAUGUGGUGACCUUUCCCAGUGACAGUAGGGGCAGCAAGGCACACAUCAAGUAGUUGCCAUCAAAGGUAAAAAGAUGGCGGAUUUAUCAUUGGUUUGAGAUUAUCCCUCUACAUCAUGUCAUCUUGCUUAAGGCGUUACUCUGUUCUUAUGGACUUAAUACACUAGAUGCAUGAUGGAUAGCGGUCGACGUGUGGAGUAAUAGUAGUAGAUGCAGAAAGUAUCGGUCUACUUGUUUCGGACGUGAUGCCAAUAGAAACAAUCAUUGCAUAGAUAUCGUCACGACUUUGCGCGGUUCUAUCAAUUGCUCGACAGUAAUUUGUUCACCCACCGUCUACUUGCUUUCAUGAGANNNNNNNNNNNNNNNNNNNNNNNNNNNNNNNNNNNNNNNNNNNNNNNNNNNNNNNNNNNNNNNNNNNNNNNNNNNNNNNNNNNNNNNNNNNNNNNNNNNNGACUAGGUAUUCGAACCCCAUACAUAUCAAGUAUGACACACGUACGCAUGGCAUACCGAUAUGUAUAGAUUCAUCGAUGGCAUCACAACAUAACCAUAAACAUACAACCUUUAUUCAAGAGGCUCGGAAGAGCCACACACAUAAUAUUACACAUUAAGGUCUCUCGACCCAUAAUAGCAGUCAUACAAAUACAAGCCAGCGGAAGAGUUAUAGACUGUCUGGGUACAGACAAUGCAACUAGAAGGCACAUGGCCUGACUAUACUACAGAGCCGACAUAGGGCCAGAUCGUAGCUGGGACACCAGCUACUCGUCGUCGUCGAUGUCUACGAAGAACCCUCCAUUAGGGUCAUUAGCAACCUCUGCAACAUUUAUUAAGCAAACAUGAGUACGAAGGUACUCAGCAAGACUUUAGGAGAACUAACUACUCAUGCAAGGUAUCAAAAGGUAUUGUGGGGUUUCAUGCGGGAAGCCAGCAUUUGACUCGUGGCUAGACAACUUGCAUUUUGAAAUUAGUUUUGACAACUUGAUUUCUCGCACACGAGUCCACUAACACCACAGCAAUACACUAUCGUGGAAUCAUUCCGUCUCCAUACGGAAAUGCCGUCCACGACACUCACGCUUAUCUUGCCCAUUUUAUGAGUAGCCAUUGAAGUUAUCUAUGAACAACAUAUGUCUCCAAGUAGUCCAUAUCCGCGGACGCGGCUAUUCGAAUAGAUCAUAACCCUGCAGGGGUGUACUUCGUCACACACGCUCUCGCCACUUAUCGCUAUGUGCACGUCAUGCACCUCGGCAACCUUCAAGCGGAAGCCCAGCGAGGGAGUCGGCCACGACCGUUAACCACACCAGUACCUAGUCCAGGUUUAUCGCCUAUCUGAGAGUAACCCGUACGAAAGUCCGGCCGGGGAUUCCGCCACGGCCUCAAACGAUGUGCGCAGGGUUCCCAAGCCCACCAUCCAGGUGCCACUUGGUACACCGUGCCACUGCCUACCGCAUCACGGCCCACCUCUCAGGUCAGCACCAUGCACGGCCUCCAGCAUUACUAUAAACACCAGAAACUACUUGCAACUCCUGGACCGAGUACUACGCGAUUAAUAGGCCGAGCGGGGUCAUAUUUCAGGGCCCAGCAUGUGGUAGUAUCUAGUCUUGGAUUACAUACACGGAACUCAGUUCCUAAGGACGGUUCCAAUGAAACAACCCGCCAUGUACUCCUACACAGCCUUUCACCGGCACCUUUACCAAAUCAAGUUCAACACACAACCUUUGCUCACCGAAAACAUUCCACAUUUCUGUUCAUCUCCCAGAUGACAGACCAUACACAACUCUAAGCAUAUCAUGCAUAGCAGGAUAAGGCACAUCAUAGCUCAAGCAACUACCAGGUAUGCUAGGUUGCAAGGUUCGGCUAUUUACUGUGACAAGGUUAGGUCAUGCAAAGGAAGUGGGUUCAACUAUCGUGGCAAAAGCAGUUGUAGCAUUUGAUCCUAAUGCAAUAAAUAAAUGCAGGAGCAAGAACAUGGGAAUUAUCGGGAUGAUCAAAAGGGUUGCUUGCCUUGUUGCUCAGAGGAGGAACGAUAUCCGUCAGACGGAUAUUCGGUGGAAUCCGGGGGUGCGGAGCCUACCGAAAUGAAUGGCAACAUUCAAUAACAAUCAUAUGCACUCAAAAUGAUGCAUGCGCAUGGCAUGAGAAUGCAGGGUGAUAAGUUAUUAGUUUCAACAUGUAAUAGGUUUAGAGUUGAUUUGAAUCACAUUCGAAUAGCAAUUCAAACGGGGUAUUCUCGGAUACCGGUUUAAUUGAUUCGACCUGAUGCUCAGAUCAACUUGAUGUUAACAUGCAUGAAAUGUCAUGUUAUGGUACUGAUUUGUAAUUAGGGCAGUGUGUGAUCAUUGCAUAUAUAAUGAAAUUUGAAUNNNNNNNNNNNNNNNNNNNNNNNNNNNNNNNNNNNNNNNNNNNNNNNNNNNNNNNNNNNNNNNNNNNNNNNNNNNNNNNNNNNNNNNNNNNNNNNNNNNNUGAGUACCUUCGUACUCAUGUUUGCUUAAUAAAUGUUGCAGAGGUUGCUAAUGACCCUAAUGGAGGGUUCUUCGUAGACAUCGACGACGACGAGUAGCUGGUGUCCCAGCUACGAUCUGGCCCUAAGUCGGCUCUGUAGUAUAGUCACGCCAUGUGCCUUCUAGUUGCAAUGUCUGUACCCAGACAGUCUAUAACUCUUCCGCUGGCUUGUAUUUGUAUGACUGCUAUUAUGGGUCGAGAGACCUUAAUGUGUAAUAUUAUGUGUGUGGCUCUUCCGAGCCUCUUGAAUAAAGGUUGUAUGUUUAUGGUUAUGUUGUGAUGCCAUCGAUGAAUCUAUACAUAUCGGUAUGCCAUGCGUACGUGUGUCAUACUUGAUAUGUAUGGGGUUCGAAUACCUAGUCGUGAACUUUAGUAGCACUCCUUACAAGGAAAUGCCCCUUUGUGAUCCAACGAGCCUUGGUAGUCCGCUACUGCUCCGGACACAUUGGUUGACCGGCAUGUGUCCUUCUUAGCUGUUGUGUCCGUCCUCUUUGGGGAAAUGUCACGCGACGUAAUGGAGUCCUUGUAGCUUGCUACGACUCGUCUACGUUCGCUGAUGACCGACACCUGCUUUGUUGGGUCAUGUAUGCCCGUCCUUGUGCGGAACUGCCACUUUGAUUUAUGACUAGACAUGUCGAUGCGGGUUCUUUGACAUUGGAUUGCUAGCGACACCUAUCGCAUACGUGAGUCAAAAGACGCAAACGGUCCCGGCUAAGGUAAAGCUGCAGCCGUGGAGUUAACCGUGCGUGAGACCACAAAGAGAUGCGAUGUGUUACAGGCUGGAUUCCUAUGGCUUAGGAUCGGGGUCCCGACAGCGUUGGUAUCAGAGCCUGACUGACUGUAGGAUUACUAAGCCAAACUGGUCAAAGUUGAGUCUAGAAUUGCUUUAGUUAUAUAUAAGGGAAUUGUUUGUGGAAGGGAACGUAAGACUCUUGUUCUCUUCUCAAGUUAUUCUAUUCUGGUCAUCCUCGUCUCUUCUGCGGGAAUUAAGGACUAGGUUACUCAUCUUCUCCUAGGCUCGUGUUUCCAAUCGGUAGCUUAUAGGACUACGGGUCGAGAGAUAUUGGGUUUCUUUUAUUCCUAGGAAGCAGGAAGUAAGUUUGGUGACCAGAGAGUUGAACUUGAUAGUUGAGUGGUUACGCUAUUCCAUUUUGGGUUGUCUCAAAUUUGUUUUGAGCAUUUACAGCCGUUAUGCUGCCCAAUUUUGCAUUCAGAGCUCUAAUGCUUUUGCAUUACUCUCUAUUUACAGAUGUCUGGCCGUCCUUCCCGUCAGGUGGUACGUCUGACCAGGUGCAUUGAUGUACCGGGUCAUACGGCCAUGCUGGUCAGGGUGAUGUCGGUGUGCGGUUACCGCUGGUACCCCGAGUACACAGUGGAGGAACAGUACCGGGACUUCAACCAGAGCCAGUACAUCUGCACUGUUAGGGUAUUCCUAGACUACCCUGGAGCGGAGAAGCCAAUCCAUUGGUCCUAUGGGUUGGGGGUCACCGUUGACAUGGGAGUACAAGAUGCUGCCUAUUCAAUGCUGACUAUUAUGAGAGCGAGACAUGCACUGCUGCAGAAUUCAGAGUUCUGCUAUGUUCCGGCCUCUCAGUCUGGUGAAGAGGGAUACCUCAGUGGACUCUAUUUUGAUUCUUCUAUGGAGGAUCCACUUCUGCAGACCACUGUUGAGAUGCUAGAGAACAGAGACAACGAUGCUCGUGCUCUCCGCAUGGAGCUUUAUGCUACUCGUGCCCGUCUGUGGACAGCUUUGACGCAGCUAGCACCGGUAGUCCAGACAGGGUAUGGAGAGAUGGAGAUGCUGAACCCUGUUAGGACCCAUCUUCCGGCUCACGUUGACUGGCCAGCUAUAGGAGGAGUCACACCUCUUCGGAGACCCCUCUUACCACCAGUCAGGGGACCAAGGCCACAUCCGUGUCCUUAUGGAUCCCAGGGGUCUCAGGCUAGAGUGUUUCCUGAUCCGCAGGUUGAGCUUCCAGGUCAUGGAGGUAAUCUCUAUGAGAUGUUCUAUGCGGAUGCCUGAGCUGUGAGCGGAAGGAUAGUAUGGUAGUAGUCGUACGUUCAAAGUCCUGCGUGACUUGUGAAGUAUGGUAGUAAUGUGAAAUGAAUUCCAGAGGCCUAGAUAAAUAAUGUAUAGGAAGCUUGUAAGCCUCUGAUGAGUAGUUCCACCAUUUCAGUAGUUUGCUCUUCGGGUAAGUUUGUACUGAACUAUGUAAGGGUGUGUAUGAACCAUGGUGUAUAUAUAGCAGUUGCUUGUUACCAUGUUGUUCGGAUAUUCAUUUCCGCAUUCCGUGUGUUCAGUACAUUCUUAAUCCAUAGCUAGUAUUGAUAUGAUAUUGGUCUAAGCUAUGAGUUUGUUUGUCAGGAUGGUGUUCACCAGGUUGAACCGUGCCCCUGCUCAUGAGCAAGGUGAGGGUAGUCAAGCGUCGCAGGAAGACCUGCCUCACCCACCUUCUCUGGUAGAAGUGAUGCUUGAGGCAGAAAGAAACAAAAGGGAGACCAACCGACUGCUAGAGCGUAUUGAGCAGAAUACGGNNNNNNNNNNNNNNNNNNNNNNNNNNNNNNNNNNNNNNNNNNNNNNNNNNNNNNNNNNNNNNNNNNNNNNNNNNNNNNNNNNNNNNNNNNNNNNNNNNNNUGCCCCAACGGCUCCCCCACGCGGCGCGCCCCGUGGGCAUCGUCGUACUGCUCCAGCUGUGGAGCCGCCCGCACCGGCCUCCCCCGCAACGGGGGAAUCGCCGAUCCCGGAGGCUUCUCCGCUAGUUGCCCCGGGCGUCUCGGCCCCGUCUCCUGCACCACCGGGCCCCGCUCCUGUCGGCACGACGCCUCCACCACCUGCUGCCCCCGUGCCCAGUACGGGGCCGGCCUCUCCCUCAACUGCCCCACCUGCUGCCCCCGUACACUUCGGAGUGCUUACCCGUGCGCGCGCGGGUGUCCAUCGACCCAGCCAGAGGUACUCCUCCAACGAGUACGUCUGCACUGCCACCACGACGGCUCCUUCGCCGCUCCCUGCGUCCGUCCACUCGGCGCUCCGGGACCCUCACUGGCGCGCCGUCAUGCAAGACGAGUACGACGCGCUACUGAGGAAUCGCACCUGGCAGCUGGGUCGUUCGCGGCUUCCGGCAACGGGCUGGUCUCGACUUGUGACAGCCCAAGUGCAAUCUCCCCUCCCCUUUUGUAUCCUCCUUGUAUGGCAACCUUGGCAUGUUGGUGUGAUGUGGGGUGAGCCUAACUUUGUGUCAUCAUUUCAUGUGCAUCAUGCCUUCUUGCAUUGCAUUCUUUCCCUUUUGUUGUGGUUGUGUUGAUGUGGGUGUCCUUGUUGUGAUGUGCAAGUGUUGUGUUGAUGUCCUUAGUGAUUGUUUAGGUGUGGGGGCAACAAGUGCAUGUCAAAACCCACAUGUUGCUCCAUAAGGAGAAAACCCUUCUCUCUCUAUGUUAAUUUGUGGCAGGUUUAAAAGGCUUUGUUUCUCCAUUUAAAAAAAUGUUCAUCUUUCCCUAAAAAAAAUCCUUUUCAUUUUGUGGAGGCAACCCCUCUGGUUUCUACUUUACUUUCCUUCUUAUCUUAUUUAAAAAAUCAAAGCCCAUUUAAAUUAGAUGAAUAUAAUUUUGGACUUCUAAAAAUGUUCCACUUAUUUUUAUAAACAGUGGCAACANNNNNNNNNNNNNNNNNNNNNNNNNNNNNNNNNNNNNNNNNNNNNNNNNNNNNNNNNNNNNNNNNNNNNNNNNNNNNNNNNNNNNNNNNNNNNNNNNNNNGGGGUUGUCAAUCCCUUAUAGAUUGUUUGCCAAGUGAGAACUGAAAGCAACAAAGUAACAAAUCAAAGUAAAAGCGGAGGUGUAAACGAUGGAUGUGAAUAGACCCGGGGGCCGUAGUGUUUACUAGUGGCUUCUCUCAUGAAAGCAAGUAGACGGUGGGUGAACAAAUUACUGUCGAGCAAUUGAUAGAACCGCGCAAAGUCGUGACGAUAUCUAUGCAAUGAUUGUUUCUAUUGGCAUCACGUCCGAAACAAGUAGACCGAUACUUUCUGCAUCUACUACUAUUACUCCACACGUCGACCGCUAUCCAACAUGCAUCUAGUGUAUUAAGUCCAUAAGAACAGAGUAACGCCUUAAGCAAGAUGACAUGAUGUAGAGGGAUAAUCUCAAACCAAUGAUAAAUCCGCCAUCUUUUUACCUUUGAUGGCAACUACUUGAUGUGUGCCUUGCUGCCCCUACUGUCACUGGGAAAGGUCACCACAUGGUAGAACCCAAAACCANNNNNNNNNNNNNNNNNNNNNNNNNNNNNNNNNNNNNNNNNNNNNNNNNNNNNNNNNNNNNNNNNNNNNNNNNNNNNNNNNNNNNNNNNNNNNNNNNNNNUCACGAGUCAUUGGAGGGACGAUGAUGAUGAUGAAGAAGCCCUCCAACUCCAAAGUUGUCACAUCCCUAACCCUUAAGCAAGAUAGCAUUGUGCUCAUGUCUUCUUUGCAUUUGCAUCUAAGAAGUUUCAACAAAAACAACAAAGUGGCAAAGGAAAAACUCAAAACCCUAGCCACCAUUUCAAAUUAAAGGAAAUCUCAAACUAGUUCAAAAUCAAUGAACCCAAAAUGGCCUCAAGAAAUGUUCAAACUUUCUGAUAAAUCAUGAAAGUAAAUGAGCAUUGGAGAAAACUAUUUUCUUGACACUUUAAGCUUUUUAAAUUAAUGCAAAAGCCACUGGUUUCAAAUUUAAAAUUUGAAAUCAGAAACUAUAAUUUUCCAAAAAUGUUGAAAACCUUGGAAAUGGUUGGGGAUAUUAUAACAAAUAUUUCAGGAGGUCUAAAAUAGUUUUUACUUUUUGUUUUGGAGCUGAAUUAAUUAGCAAAACAAUAAUUAGCAAAACAGAAAAACAAAAACAGAAAAAUAAGGAAAAACCUUACCUGUCGCCUAAGCCUGGCCCGGCCCAUCCCUGGCUCGUCCCCUCCCUCGCACCAGUAGGCAGCAGGAGGUGGUCGCCGCCCCCUCCGGCGCGGCCACGCACCUGCGUGCCUGCCUGGCCGCCGCCUCGCGCUGGCGACGACGGGGAUAAGCUCCCCAGAGCCUCCCCUAUCCAUUCCCCGCCUCGGUUCUCUUCCUCCACCCGGAUCUCUUCCUCCUCCCCGCUGCCGCCAUUGGAGCCGAGCUCGAGCUCGAGCUGCCCGUGCCCCUAGCCUUAGGAUCCCCUCCCAGAGCAUGCCAUUAGCGCCGCCUCGUCGCCCUGGUCAUCUCUACAGAAGCCGAAGCUUCCUCGAGCCCUGCAACGCCCGCAACGCCGUCGUCUUCCACCUCCGGCCGCCGGACCUCUCCCGUCGAUUCGCUUCCUCCGGCGCAUCCCCGAGCCCCUCUUCAGCACCAUCGGAACGGCCGUGAGCUCGUCGUCGUUUCCCCUCUCGCCCCACGCUCUCCCGUGCAUCGUAUCCUAGUUCCCCACCAAGGCCGAGAGCUUCUCGCCGCCGGCCAUGUCGCUGUCGUCGUUGUGAUGACUGAUCCACGCGCCCGAGCUAGGAUUCGAGCUCCUGGAGCCUCCAGGAGCGUGCCGAGCCCUCCAGCUGCCCUCCCCGUGCCCUAGAACCGCCCCUCAUAGAAGGCCGAGCUUCGGCCGCCGCUCCGGCUCAUCGCCGACGCCUCUUCCGGCGACCCUAGCCUCCCCAGAUGGUCCUGCCAGAUCGGCCACUUCGCGAGCAUGCUGUAGCUGCAAACCGCGUGCGUUUUGGUGUUGUGCAGCGCCGUCUAGGUCGCCUCCGGCGAGCCCUCCGCCGCGGGCCUGGUCGCCGGCGACCACCCUCCGGUGGGGGUCGACGUGGCAAGCUAACCCAGCAGCUUAGGGACCUAAUCACUCGCUGACAAGUGGGCCCAAGGCCAAGUCAAACCUCAGUUAGGGCUGGUCAGCGUGGGAUUAGUCCCAGAGAGGCUGUCCAGUGGGGCCCCCCUGUCAGGUUUGACCUGAACAAGUCGGCUGACCUGCUGAUGUGAGCCUGAGGCAAUAAAUAGAAUUUCCAGUAUAAAACUAAUUCAGGAAAUUGCUAAAAUNNNNNNNNNNCGGGAUUAGUCCCAGAGAGGCUGUCCAGUGGGGCCCCCUGUCAGGUUUGACCUGAACAGGUCGGCUGACCUGUUGAUGUCAGCCUGAGGUAAUAAAUAGAAUUUCCAGUAUAAAACUAAUUCAGGAAAUUGCUAAAAUUUGUAAAAAUCAUAGAAAUUAAUCUGUAACUCCAAUGAAAAUAAUUUAUAUAUCAAAAAGUAUCAGAAAAAUUCAAGGAUUCUGAUUAUGCUAUUUUCAACCAUGUUUAAAAAAGUUACAGAACCCUAAAUUGUGGAAUAAGGAAUAAUUCAAUUCUUUUAAUCACUUUAUAAAUGGAAUUUGCAAAAAAAUUCAAAUUUCAUUAUAUAUGCAAUGAUCACACACUGCCCUAAUUACAAAUCAGUACCAUAACAUGACAUUUCAUGCAUGUUAACAUCAAGUUGAUCUGAGCAUCAGGUCGAAUCAAUUAAACCGGUAUCCGAGAAUACCCCGUUUGAAUUGCUAUUCGAAUGUGAUUCAAAUCAACUCUAAACCUAUUACAUGUUGAAACUAAUAACUUAUCACCCUGCAUUCUCAUGCCAUGCGCAUGCAUCAUUUUGAGUGCAUAUGAUUGUUAUUGAAUGUUGCCAUUCAUUUCGGUAGGCUCCGCACCCCCGGAUUCCACCGAAUAUCCGUCUGACGGAUAUCGUUCCUCCUCUGAGCAACAAGGCAAGCAACCCUUUUGAUCAUCCCGAUAAUUCCCAUGUUCUUGCUCCUGCAUUUAUUUAUUGCAUUAGGAUCAAAUGCUACAACUGCUUUUGCCACGAUAGUUGAACCCACUUCCUUUGCAUGACNNNNNNNNNNNNNNNNNNNNNNNNNNNNNNNNNNNNNNNNNNNNNNNNNNNNNNNNNNNNNNNNNNNNNNNNNNNNNNNNNNNNNNNNNNNNNNNNNNNNAGACACAACAGCUAAGAAGGACACAUGCCAGUCAACCAAUGUGUCCGGAGCAGUAGCGGACUACCAAGGCUCGUUGGAUCACAAAGGGGCAUUUCCUUGUAAGGAGUGCUACUAAAGUUCACGACUAGGUAUUCGAACCCCAUACAUAUCAAGUAUGACACACGUACGCAUGGCAUACCGAUAUGUAUAGAUACAUCGAUGGCAUCACAACAUAACCAUAAACAUACAACCUUUAUUCAAGAGGCUCGGAAGAGCCACACACAUAAUAUUACACAUUAAGGUCUCUCGACCCAUAAUAGCAGUCAUACAAAUACAAGCCAGCGGAAGAGUUAUAGACUGUCUGGGUACAGACAGUGCAACUAGAAGGCACAUGGCGUGACUAUACUACAGAGCCGACGUAGGGCCAGAUCGUAGCUGGGACACCAGCUACUCGUCGUCGUCGAUGUCUACGAAGAACCCUCCAUUAGGGUCAUUAGCAACCUCUGCAACAUUUAUUAAGCAAACAUGAGUACGAAGGUACUCAUCAAGACUUUAGGAGAACUAACUACUCAUGCAAGGUAUCAAAAGGUAUUGUGGGGUUUCAUGCGGGAAGCCAGCAUUUGACUCGUGGCUNNNNNNNNNNNNNNNNNNNNNNNNNNNNNNNNNNNNNNNNNNNNNNNNNNNNNNNNNNNNNNNNNNNNNNNNNNNNNNNNNNNNNNNNNNNNNNNNNNNNAAGACAUAGAAACGUAUCAAUACCAUCAAAACAUAUCAAUAUAGACAUGAAAUCUAGUUUCAAAGACCUCGUCACAGCAAAUUUAAUGAUGGAAAUAGAUUUUUAAUUUGGCUUUUCGUUUAAGGGAUAAGACAUUUUGAAUUUUGAGAAAAUGAUGUUUACAUCAUCUACAUUUGUUUUCACUUGCAUGUAUGCAUGGAUGCCAUUCCGCACUUUCCCUCGUCAGGGACUGUUCGCCCAUUAUUACAGUCGAAAACUAAAACAAUGAUAUGUACUCCCUCUGUUCCUAAAUAUAAGUUUUUUAAGAGAUUUCAAANNNNNNNNNNNNNNNNNNNNNNNNNNNNNNNNNNNNNNNNNNNNNNNNNNNNNNNNNNNNNNNNNNNAAUGAUAUGUAAUUACAUACUCUUAAAAAUAAUAAUUAAAUAAAAAGACAAUCCUUGGAAAUUACCAGUCUAGUCUUAUUCUAAGACCUGACGAAACAUUAUUGAGUACCCGUCAUAUACAAGAGGAUUCGCUAGCAAAGGACUAUCAGAAAGGUUCAGGCAAUCUGCUGCCCAGGUCAUACACGAUUAUUCAUCAGGUUGGACACAAGCUAAGCUGCUUUCCUUCUGGAGAGUAAUUUGAAAAACUGUUCAAAGGCAGGGUAGAAUGAUCAUCCUUCGUGAUACACUAAACUGGAAACAAAAAACUCAGCUCGAUGCAUUUACAUGGACAGAAAUCGAAGUAUGUAACGGGUGAAGCUACCAUCAUGCCUCCAGGUCGUUCAGGUUUCUCGGAACUUUGACAAAAAGUUUUGAAACGAAGAGAAACCUUCCAUCGCAUCGUGCGGCAUGUUAAGCGUGAAAGGGGGAAGAACACUCGGACCAGCCUUCAGGUUCUUCGGGCCAGCGGCUGACGGUAGCGCAAGUGCAGGCUGCUGUCUGUUGAGCUUUUCUAUGAUGUACGAGAAAGUUCCAAAAGCCAGGCAGCUCUGAAUCAGAGUUUGCGGUGCACCU
rnacentral:lncRNA from 1 species